CUCCCCAGUUUGGUCUAUGGUGUUGGCCAGUGAACAAUCAUGUUUGGUUGUCGCGUGUUUUUUACUCUUAGUGAGCCUCUGCAUCAGUGAACGGCUGUGGCAAGCGUUAAGCAGUUACAGAGGAAGAACCGGGAAGGAACUGAAGUGUCUAAUUGUACAACUCUGAAAUGCUGAAAGUACCUACUGGACAUGUAUGUUUCCGAAAAUGUCAAUUUAUGUUGAAUUUUAUUAAGGUUUAAUUGUUUAUCCAGGAGCAUAUGCUCCUAGAGCCAAAAUGCUACCCUUGAUUGUGGAUUGCCACAAGAACAUCCUUACUUCAUUUUUUUUUCUCUGAGGGGGAGAAUUACACAACUGUUGCAACCAGAGGAAGGAAGAAGUUCUUCGUAAAGGCCGUCAGAUAGUGUGUAGUGCAAGUUCCUCUUGGCUAAUGUAUUAUCUUUAGUUCUCGAUAGAAGGUGUUAUUAUCACCACCAGAGAGAGCAUCAGCCUAAAAGUGCUCGCAGCAAAAUGAAUGAAUUAAGAAUAGUCCAGAAAAACAGUGAUUUGCAACUCAAGAAUACUUGGUUCAUUGAUUUUGUAGAUUCAUUAUUCAUCGGUCUAAUCAAGCGACUUAGCUAGUGAUGAAGUUAGGAAAGACGAUUGCUGAAUUUGAAAUCGACUACCUGGGCUUGAGGGAGGUGUGGGCGGCGAGGUCGCGGGAGGAGUACUUCCUUGGCUCGCCGGCUGCUGCGGAGGUGACCGGUGGUGGAGGAUGGCAGGGGCAGCUGGCCAGCAUCGGGUUCGGCCGGCUGGGUGCGCCGUGGCGGCAGGCCGACAGCGGUGGCGGCGGCUAGGAACCCUAGCUGUCGCGCUCGGGAGGGAGGUUGACGCAGGCGGAGCCACGGGGGGAGGGGGACGGCGAGGGCGCGGGCGCGGGCGGAGGGGGGACGGUGAGGGAGGUGGUCGGGUGCGGCGGGGGAAGCGAGCAUGGCCAGGGACGGCGAGCACGACGAGCACGGUCGGUGUGGGGGGAGAUGAGGCAGGGGAGGGAUUAGAGAGAAAUGUGAGGGGAUUGGGGAUUUUAAUUUAGUGUGGGGGAAGGCUUAGCAAUGGCGCACCACCCAGGGGUGCGCCAUAAGUACAUCCAUAGCAAUGGCGCACCACCGAGGGGUGCGCCAUAAGUAAUUUAGCCCGACUUGUCAGGUUAUAUACCACCUAACCCUAUAUACAACAGAACCUGCCCACUAGCCCGACUAGUCAGUACGUAGCACCCACACCAGGAGGUCCUAGGUUCGAUUCCCAGGCUCCCCAAUAUGUUUUAUGCAUUUUAAAUCCUGUUUGAUAUUUAUUUGUGUUUAAAUAUGUUCAAAGUUGUUUAAAUCAUAACAGUAAUAUUUUUUUAUAAAAUAUCAUCGGCAGCGGCGGUGGAGCGGGGGAGGGUGCGGGGGUGCCCAUUGGCGGCGAUGGAGCAGGGGAGGGUGCGGCGGGUGCCNNNNNNNNNNNNNNNNNNNNNNNNNNNNNNNNNNNNNNNNNNNNNNNNNNNNNNNNNNNNNNNNNNNNNNNNNNNNNNNNNNNNNNNNNNNNNNNNNNNNNNNNNNNNNNNNNNNNNNNNNNNNNNNNNNNNNNNNNNNNNNNNNNNNNNNNNNNNNNNNNNNNNNNNNNNNNNNNNNNNNNNNNNNNNNNNNNNNNNNNNNNNNNNNNNNNNNNNNNNNNNNNNNNNNNNNNNNNNNNNNNNNNNNNNNNNNNNNNNNNNNNNNNNNNNNNNNNNNNNNNNNNNNNNNNNNNNNNNNNNNNNNNNNNNNNNNNNNNNNNNNNNNNNNNNNNNNNNNNNNNNNNNNNNNNNNNNNNNNNNNNNNNNNNNNNNNNNNNNNNNNNNNNNNNNNNNNNNNNNNNNNNNNNNNNNNNNNNNNNNNNNNNNNNNNNNNNNNNNNNNNNNNNNNNNNNNNNNNNNNNNNNNNNNNCCGGGUGCUCGGCGGCGGCGGUGGAGCGGGGGAGGGUUGCGGUGGGUCAUCGAUGGCAGUGGAGCUAGCGGGGGAGGGUCCGGGUGGGAUCGAGAUCGAGAUGGAGGGGGAUCGAGAUCAAGUGUCCUCAUGAAUUCAAAAAGUGUCCAUGAAAUUUAAAAAUAUUCAUGAUAUCAAAAAGUGCCCAUGAAAUACAAUCGAGAAAUGAAGACUACGAUUUAAAUACAAUCGAGCUAGCUAUCUGUUCACAAUCUUCUUGCCCUUCUUUUUCGCAAAUGGAGUUCUUCUAUGGAACGGACGUCCUUUAGGUAGGGUGGUCCUGCUUCUUCUUGUGGUGUGUGCUGCUACUUCAUCGUCAUCGUCAUGUUCGAUCUUCGGGUCGCCGUACUUGUCAAAGUCUUGCUCAUUGGCUACUCCAUCCAUUCCGAUGAUCUUCCUUUUGCCUCUCCUCACGACAACACGACUGGGCUUUGGCGGGUCGGUAAUGAAGAAGCAUUGGUCCACUUGGGAAGCCAGUACCCAUGGCUCAUUUUUUGCGGUGACGUUUGCGCCGGCGGUCUUGGAUUUGGCUUCGGGUAUAACCAUGGUGGUGAAAUACCGGUCUUCUUUUAGAACGCUCUUGGCCCAUCUGACACGGAACAUCGGGACCUUCUCUCCAGCAUAGCUCAGCUCCCAGAUCUCCUCGAUCCUUCCGUAGUAUCUGUCCUUGUCGUUGCCGGUGUAAGAUUCCAUCGUUACCUCGGAGUUCUGAUAACCAUCGCUCUUCAUGUCCUUUUCCUUGGUGUAGAAUGUGUAGCGGUUGAUAUCGUACGCCUCAUAGGUCAUCAGGUUGUGCUCGGCGCCCUGUGACAAGGCGAAUAUGAGUUGUUCUUCCACGGAAGAAUCCUCAUGUAAAGGGUACGACAGAAGCUUCUGCUUGAACCAACACGUGAAACAUGAGUUGUGCUCUUUGAUUAUAUCUCCAUCCGUCCUCUGUUGGCCUCGGUCAUUGUACGUCUUCUCAAUAAAGGUUUUGUGCUCUACCACCCAAGGAUCGACCACGUCUAUGUGUUGUAGCGCGACUAGGUUUGCUCUUUCAAAGUCGGUGAGUCGACCCUCGAAGUCGACAUGCAUUUCGCGGCGACCCUCACGGUGACCCCAUCCAGCGAGCCUGCCGAGGUGCCUGUUGACGGGCAGACCAACGGGGUUCUCGAUGCCUAGAUAAUUCAUGCAGUAGGAGAUGCACUCUUCGGUCAGAAAGCCCCUGGCUAUACUUCCCUCUGGAUGUGACAUGUUUCGAACGUAUCCUUUGAUGACACCAUUCAUCCUUUUGAACGGCAUCAUGCUGUGCAGGAACGUCGGCCCGAGUUGGAUGAUAUCCUCCAUGAUAUGGACCAGCAGAUGCACCAUAACGUCGAAGAAUGCAGGCGGGAAGUACAUCUCAAGCUCGCAUAGUAUCACCAUGAUCUCUUCCUGUAGCCUUCUAAGUUGCCUCAUGCCAAUGGACUUCCGAGAGAUGACGUCGAAAAAGUUGCAUAGGCCAAAUAGCGUUUCACGGACGUGCGCGUCCAUGAUCCCACGGAUUGCAACUGGAAGUAUCUGCGUCAUCAGCACGUGACAGUCGUGAGACUUCAUGCCGUUGAACUUCUGCUUCGCUGGGUCUAGGUAUCUGCUUAUCUUCCCCGCGUAACCGUAAGGAAGUUUUACUCCUAGGAGGCAGGUGAAAAAUUGCUCGAUCUCCUCCUGACUUAGAGUGAAGCACGCGGGAGGGUAGUUAUUUCCGGUCUUCUUGGCCGUUUUGCCUUUGCGACGACUUUCUGUGUCCUGCUUCGCCUCAUCAUCAUCAUCAUCAUCAUUAGCGUGAAGCUCCUGCCUGAUGCCCAUUGAUUUCAAGUCUGUCCUUGCUUUCGGCCCAUCUUUGGUCCUCUCUGGCAUGUUGAGCAGGGUACCAAGCAGACUCUCGCACACGUUCUUCGUGAUAUGCAUGACAUCAAGGCUGUGAGGCACACGGUGGAUCUUCCAGUACGGCAAGUCCCAGAAAACAGACCUCGUUUUCCAUACCUUCAGCAGCGGCUCUGGCGCCUUUCGCUUCUUUCCUGGCUCUGGCGCAUUUUUCUUCUUUCCCGACAGUGGGCAGUCUUUCCAAUUUUUCAACAGCUCGUCUAUUUCCUCGCCGCUCCUCGUACACGGGCAUUUUCGGGGUUCGGUUUCACCAUCGAACAGAUCCUUGCGUUUCCUCCACGGGUCAUCGUCGCGAAGCCACCUUCGAUGUCCCAUGAACAUGGUUUUCGAAGACUCGGGAUCUCUAUCUAGCUGGCGAUACGUUGUGUCAUCCAUGCACCUUACGCAUCCAGAAAAUCCGUGGACUACCUGCCCCGCGAGAUAUCUGUAACCGAGAUAGUCGUGCACCGUCGUGAGCAGUGCGGCUCUCAUAGGGAAAUAUUCUUUCUCUGCAGCAUCCCGCGUAUUGGCUGGCAUUUUCCACAGAAUGUCUAGCUCCUCCUUCAGCAGCCCCAGAUACAGAUUGAUGUCGUUCCCUGGUUGUUUCGGCCCUUCAAUUAGCAUACUCAUGUGAAUAUACUUCCUCUUCAUGCACAACCAGGGGGGAAGGUUGUACAUCCACACAAACACAGGCCAGGUGCUAUGUGUGCUUCUCUGGCUGCCAAACGGAUUGACUCCAUCGGUGCUCGCGCCCAGCACGAUGUUCCUUGGAUCCUUCCCAAAUUCUGGGUAUUCGAAGUUCAACGCUUGCCACUGGCUCGCAUCCUUAGGGUGACUCAGCAUCUUGUCUUUUUUAUUUAUCUCCGGAUCAUUUCCGUCAUCUUCCCGCUUCUUCUCCUCCCUAUCCGUGUGCCAACGCAGGAGCUUUGCUACCUUAGGGUCCGCGAAAUACCGCUGCAGACGAGGAGUGAUCGAAAAGUACCACACCGAUUUUCGAGGAGCUUUCUUCCUCUUCUUGUAUCGAGUGACGCCGCACACCGGACAUAUGGUAGACUCUGCGUGCUCGUCCCGAUAAAUGAUGCAAUUGUUCAUGCACACAUGGUAUUUCACGUGCGGUAAAUCCAGAGGACACAUGAUUUUCUUCGCCUCCUCGAAACUGGUCGGGCACUUGUUCCCCUUGGGAAGACGUUCAUGCCAGAAUGACAUGUUCUCGUCGAAGCAUGUGUCGGUCAUUUUGUGUUUUACCUUCAUCUCCAGAGCCAUGAGCAUUACUUUUAGGCGGGUAUCCUCAGGCCUGCAUCCUUCAUACAAUGGAGUAACCGCGUCUAUCUCCAGUUGAUCCAGCUUGGCUUUCUCUCGGGCGGCAGCUCUUGCGUUAUCUGUCUGCUUGCGAAGAAGCUCUUGAAUAUGAGGGUCCUGCACCCAGCCUCCAUCGUCGUUUGCUCCGGCAUCUUCAUCUUCAUGAUCAUGCCCUUCGUCUUGAUCUUCCUCAUCAUCAUGUACGACAUCUUGUACAUGUUGAUUGUGUACAUCAUCACCAUCGUGAUCAUGUCCUGGAGAUUCUUCGUUUUCUCGCCUGCCCUCGCCGCGGUGGUUGUCUUGUUGCCCUUCCUCAUUUCUUGCCCGGCCCCCAUGGACGACUUCAUAGUCAUCUUCAUCACCUUUCCACCGAUAGCCAUCCAUGAAACCACGCAAGAGCAGGUGGUCCCGCACCUGCCCGGAAUCUGGGUCCGCAAUAAGGCUCUUCAGCUUGCAUCUUCGACACGGACAUCUUAUCUCCAUCUCAUUCUUUUGAAGCAUCUCGGCCUUCGCGGAGCUCAAAAACCUAUUCACGAUGCCUUCGGUCAUCGUGCGGACCAUGGUCGCCUGCGGGGUAGAGCAAAACGAUAUUUUAGAACCAAGAAAAAAUUUGGCAUGACCAUCCCUAAAAAUAGGACCAAAAAGAAUGCAUAGUGCCAAAAUUCUCGCCGAAACGGAAAUGAAUCAACAUUCCGGCAAAAUAUUGGCAACUAUCGCAUUUCAAAUACCGGUACCUGCAAACACAAAUAUAUAUGCAACACCACAAACACAAGCAACACCACAAACAUACAUAGAUCUAGCUAGGCCACAAAAAGUGCAUGUGCACGUUGUUGGAGCGAGCUAGGGAGAAAAAAAGUAGAUCUACAUCAUGAAGAUAGCUUUCCCCUUACUUACCUAUCAAAAAACGGUAAUUUCACCACUUAAUUUUGAUGAAUCUAUGGUAGAAAUGAGGUGAGGAGGAGGAGGCAGCCGAGACAAGCUGGGAGGAGGAGGUGGAGAGAAUGAAGUGGGGAAAGUGAGUGGGUAGGUGGGCUAUCCAAAAUAUCUUGUUGGUCCCAAGUUACUAAUGGCGCACCACCACAAAAUGCGCCAUUAGUAAUCCUGGUUACUAAUGGCGCACCUGCAGGCAGUGCGCCAUUAGUACUUUUUGCAGAAAAGUAAAAAAACAUAUGUAUUCUAAUGGUGCACUGUGGUAAAGUGCGCCAUUAGUAGUUUAAACUAGUAAUGGCGCACUUCGACACGGUGCGCCAUUAGUAGGUUUGCAAAAAACUAAAAAAAAUAUACUAAUGGCGCACUAUAUGGGUGGUGCGCCAUUACUAGUUCUAACUAGUAAUGGCGCACUUUGGCAUCAUGCGCCAUUAGAGUGUAUGGAAAAAUGGAAAAAAAACAAUACUAGUGGCGCACCGUGUACCUGGUGCGCCAUUAGUGUCUUCCACACUAAUGGUGCACCACCAACCGGUGCACCAUUAGAAUAUAGUAGUGGCGCACUGCUUGCCUGGUGCGCCAUUAGUAUCAAUCUUAUCUAUAGCCCUUUUCCUAGUAGUGAGACGUUGACUACGUUGCCAUGUCGAAGGCCUCAUGUCAACGGGCUUGCAUAUUACUGUACCUCAAGAAAGCUGGCUAUGCCAUCAAGCUCGUCGACAGCGACGGCUUCACGCAGGCCAUGUCACAGGUUACACGGUCCAUCCCCAAACUGCCGUCGAUCUCUUCGGCGGCCCUGCUGCUGAUCUCUUCCGCCAAGCGGUCAAGGAUUUGCGAUCCUUAUACGCCAUAGAGCCCAUUUUGUCAUUUCUGAAGGACACGUUCUACGGCGGUGGCUUGGGAUCCUCAAUUGCCAAGUCAGAUCUCAUCGACCACGACCACGACCACGAGGAGGGCACCCACAAAGGUUCUUCCAAGGUGAGACGGCCCAUCUGUGACAUCAGAGAGUGCACCAUGGGUUUGUGCUCUUCCAACUGGAAGGAUCCCGUCCAUGAAAUGUGAGGCAACAUCCUAUCAGCAAAUCUUACCUUUUCUACCUUGCCAACCCAUACCCUUUGUUGUAGUGGCAUUUGUCGUGCGGUGCUAUAACUGUGACGUGUUUAAUUAUUUCAGUUAUGCAAAAAUGUAUUGUUCAAUAGGGCUAUGUGAUGUUUAAGUAUGAAUUGUCCACUUCAGUUUCACGAAUGGCUAUAUUUGGUUGUUUAUAGUGAGUAGAUACCUUGUUUAUCUGUGUUUGGUUGUUAGGUUGGUUGCAGUGAGCAUUUUUCCAGUUAUCGAGCCAAUGCCUUGUUUAUAUGUAUUUGGUUCUUAGUUUGGUUGUAGUGAGCAUUUGUCCAGUUAUCAAGCAGAUGCCAUGUUUAUCUGUAUUUGGUUGUUAGGUUGCUUUUUUAGCAUUUGUCCAGUUUUCAAGCAGAUGCCUUGUUUAUCUGUAUUUGCUUCUUAGGUUGGUUGCAGUGAGCAUUUGUCCAGUUUUCAAGCAUAUGUCCUGUUUAUCUGUAUUUGCUUGUUAGGUUGGUUGAAGUGAGACUCUGUCCAGUUUUUAAUGGCUAUAUUUGGUUGUUAUACUUAUCAUUUAUGCCUUGUUUAUUCCAGUCAUUCACAAUGUGUUGUUCAUUAUGUACAAGUCGGAACUGUGCCGCUCGACUGCAUAAAUACCAGUUUGAACGGCUAUAAUUGGUUCCAGUUAUGCCUGGUGUAGUUAACACAUGCCCUUUAUUUCAGUUCGGGUACGCGUCGGUGCUAUACGAACGGUUUUUAACACCUUUAUGCGACGACAUUUGGAACCAUCGCCAAGUGAGUGUGGGUGAUAUGGGGGUCCUUUCCACAUGACCCAGAAACCGUCGGGGAUAGGCCCUCCCCACACACUGGCUUGGACAAAAUGGGUUCGUGUGCGAUCUGGCAGGGCAUCGGAACCCAAUUGUUUCCAUUCAUAUGUACAUCCCACACGGUGAAUCCCAGAAAAACAUUUCCGUUUGUAUGUAUAUCACACACAGUCAAUCCAAGGAGAACCUUUCUAUUCUCAUGUACAUCCCACACAGUGAAUCUAGGGAAAACCUUUCUGUUCGUAUGUACUUCCCACACAGUCAAUCCAGGGAAAAUGUUUCCGUUUGUAUGUACAUCCCACGCAGUCAAUACAGGGAAAAUAUUCUCGUUCGUAUGUACACCCCACACAGGUUUAUGUAUAGGCUCGUGUGUGAUACGUGUAACUAUCACACACGCUCUGCCUUGUUUAACCAUUUGCUUUUAUCAACUACAUCACACACGAUUUGAUGAAGAAAACUGUGUGGCAUUGGGCUAUCAAUAGCAAGCGCUUUUACUUCUAGAACCGUUUGCGAAGUUCUGUGACCCAUUUCGCAGGUUUAUUAGUUUACAAUUAAUAAUUCCAGUAUUACACAAAUUCACAUUUCAUAUCGAACAGAUGUUUGCCAAUUUCAUAUCAGCCACAUAGAUAUAUUUUAACAUCACAGUACGAUAGCUACCGAAAAACAGUACAGUACAUCAUAUAGAUAGUUCAACUUCAUAAGAACAAUAUUAGAACAAUAUAUUCAUUUCCCUAAUCGAGAACAUCCAGGCUCGCCUUAUCCACCUCUGCUUUCAGUUCAGUAAGAACCUAUUUUGCAUUGGCCAACUGGGAAAGUGUCUCCUCCUUCGCCAAGACCAUCUUAGCAAAGUCUGAAUUAAAAAAUCUGAGCUCAUUCUCCACCUUCCUCUUUUUAUCCCGCAUCUUCCAAUAUUCUUCAAUGUUGACAACACUUUCUCUAAGCCUGCCUCUGUUCUCUUCCUGAUACAUGCUCCAGAGCUUUGCUAGGCACAUCUUCAAAGACUGUGGUCACUCUUGAUCAACCCACUGCAAGUAAGAACACUUCCGUUCAUCCUAUAAUAUUUAAAACUAGAUCAAUAACAUUUGUAGGGAAAAUGGGUUUAUAGCAACAUAGAAAAUCACCAAUACUUAUUUUAAAAAACUAAAGAAACAGGUUAAUUAUGACAUAUCUUCUCAAAAAGAUCAAUGUGCAAAUGAAUUAAUUGCUACUGACACAACAACCAAAUUCUGAAACAUCAGAAGCCAUAAUUAACUACAACAACGCUACAAGUUCUUACUCAUGUACUAUAAAUAACAAAUUGAACAUUUUAAGAGGAAGGUAAAUAUAACUGCAAUAGCAUAGCGACAGUGUUUGGAUGACAGCAAAUUAAUACUAACAGGUAUGUACAUGCACAAAUUUAGUAACAUAUAACUAAUAGCACUAAGGCGUCCACUAUGUAUGCCAAAACUGGUGUAAAGACAACCGUUGCUACAUCUCGCACCGGUGCCCUGCACUCGCAAGUCGAUGCAGCGCAAAAAAAUCAGGGACCCAAACUUCGGAGCACCUAGUUGCUUCAACACCCAGUUCCUUCAUGCCAUAAAGAUUUAGUAUUUUACUGCUUGGCUGCUCGGAUGUGUGGACAAGGUGGCUCCACAAACUACUAAAGCGGUGCCAAAUAAUUUUCUAAUGGAACCGCUGAUGAGAUGGCAACAUUUUUAGAUACUACAUACAAACUGUGACUGUCGGAUAUCGGGUUCCGGCAAAACCCUUAAGGUUCAAACUCUGGAGUGCGCUCGAAGGUCUUCUCCCUAUCGAUUCACGCCCACAACCUCGCCGCGAUUCUAAGCUAGCAUGAUGAACAACACAACAGACGCAAGGUUUAUACUAGUUUGGGCCACCGUUGUGGUGUAAUACCAUACUCUAGUGUCUGGAGGUGGAUUGCCUCUUGGGCUGAUGAUGAACAGUACAGAGGAAGAACAGCCUCGCGAGGAGAGGUGUUCUUGUGGUGGUGAUUCAUCUCUCUUGGCUCUAGAUGAGAUCUGGUUCCAUUACCUUCUACUGUGGUGGCUAGCCCUAUUUAUAGAGGCCCUAGUCCUCUUCCCAAAUACUGAGCGGGAAGGGAGCCAACAAUGGCCAUUUUGAAAGGGGACAUCUAGUACAAGCUAUCCUGACUAAAGGUGGUCUUCGACUGCCAAAGGCACUGGUGAUGACGCCGUCUUGGGCUCCAUGGUGACCUCCGUCCGGCCGCUCUGCUGGUCUUGGUCUCGUUGCACCAAUAUGGAAACCUUUGCUUGAUGCCUCGGUACUCCGCGCCUGCACUUGCCCCCUUUGCACCAAAGAGGAAACAAGUACACUACGCAGGCUGGCGCCCACCUGGCGCCUGCCUGGUAUUGAUCGUCAUGGCUUGCAUCAUGAGCACCUCGCGAGGUACCCCUCACCUUGAUCUCUCCGCCUCCUCGCAAGCCUACCUGGUGAGGCUGCCCCUGAGGAGGCCUUGUAUCGCCCGCCCCGCGAGGCUUGGCCCCUCGCGAGGGUCUUGAACUUGGGUUGGUGAAGACGGGUCGUACUGGGCCACUGGUGAGCCAUGCUGCAGGCCGCAGGCAGGCAAGUCUGGGGACCCCCGUUCCCAGAACGCCGACAGUAGCCCCCGGGCCCAAGGCACGCUCGGACUUGGCUUAGAUACGAAGCCAAAGGGCAAGUGCGGAGCGCCGCGGGCCCCCAAAGCCUGUGGCCUUGGUCGACAUGUAGCGAUUGAUUGCACGUGGGCGCCUCCGCUUCCCCAUGUUGCCUCGGCAACUGCCCGAUUUGACGAGUCCCUGCUGCAUGCAAAAAGAGUCAUCAUUACCUGCGAUCAUGGAGGCCGACGGUUGGCCUCCCCUGGGCAAUAAAUGGGAAGAGGCGAAAGCCCCCAUUGCACAUCUCUUCUUGCUCCACCUCCUUCUUCUCCCUCCUUGCCCUGGUUGCUUGCAGCAUCCCAUGGCGCCCGCGAAGAGGUUCUCAGCCACGAAGGAGGGGAAGGCUCGUCAGGAAGGGUCUGGCUCUCCUCCGUCCAAGUGCGGCCGCGGCCACCCCCGCAAGCGUCCCGCGACUCCCGUCGCGGCUUCUCGUGGUCGCAGUGGUGGCCCUUCGCACGAUGGUGGCCACCCAUAUUGAGGCAACCCAGUCGGUGGAGGAAGGCGUGUCGUGGCUGCGCGGCCUCCCUGGCCGCGCUUCCAUUCGGCGGAGGUGCUGCCGGAGUUUUUUGUGUGGUCGGACAACCCGAUCGGCACCUGGCUCCAGCUCCCUCGCUUCUUCGCCGGUGAACUGCCGGCCGCUGGCCCCGGCAGGCUCUGGCUGCAGGCAGACGGCUGCUGUUGCAGGGCCUCCUGGGUCAUGGUGGAGAUCUCCGUCGAUGGGAACGUGGCCCUGGCCCGAGGCUGGCAGGCAUUUGCCCGCGCGCGUGGCUUGGGCAGGUGGUGCACCCUCCACUUCAAGUACGAGAGCGACGCAACCCUCUACGUGAGGGUGUUCGGAGAAGAUGGCCGCCGUGCUGGGUGCUACCCUAAAGAAGAUGACGGUGAUGAGGUGCUCGGCCUUGGCGACGGCCGUGACGAGGGCGAAGGCGAACCCGCUUCCGGCGACGACCGCAGCCCGUCGAGCUUCAGCGGCUCCUCCUCCGGCGACAGCUCCUCCAGCGGUGGCCACGAUCAGCGACCACACCGCCGCGCCCGCUUUGAGGGUGGUAGCGGGUUGUCCCAUCGCCGUGCCACGGUGAAGCACGAGGCGGAGUCUGAUUGAGCUCAGGAGGAUGUCGCAGAUCCCUUCUCGCGAGCUGUGCGUUGUUUUUAUUCUCCUUUUCCUGCAUUGAGAUAGAGAAGUAUGGAGCCCCGUGGGGGCGUGCAACAAACUAUGAUCCCCUAAUUAUCGUGCUACAUUCAUUGUCCAUGUGAUGUGCGAUGGUGUCAUGGUUAUGUGCCUGCGUGUAGGAACAACUUAGCUCGGGAUGUUUGCAGUAGUUUCUGCCUUGCAAGGUGCCUUCUUGAGGCCUCGUUGGGCGCCUUAAGAGCUGCAAAAAUCAGUUGGGAGAAUCAUUUCCAAACCUUAGUCGUGAGGGUUGCCGGCUAUGGCUUGGUGCUCUGCGUCGCGAUGCUCGAGGGGCAUGGACCGGGAGGGGUGCUCCAACUGUGAACUUGAACGAGGGAGCCUCGCGAAAGCCAGGCGAAAAAAGGGGCUCAUGACGGCGCCCGCGCAGCCCCCUCGCGAGGCUUGCGAGAGAGAGAGCGAGCCAGACAAAAGCCAAAAGCAGAGAACAGGGGCAGAAGACAGCAAAUAACACAAGAAGCAACUUCAAUAAAGGUUCAAACAAGGGAGAACAAGCCAACUGCGGAAAGCAAAUGAAAAGUCGCGUCCGGCACCUAGUCUAGUCUUCGACGUCUUCUCACCAGCGCGGAGCUAAGUGCUGCCACUAGGCGUGGGCGGGAGCCCCCGAGGCCCGAGGGUGGCACUCCGGAGACUCCGGGGCAUGUACAACCCCAACUCAUUAUUACGUGAGAGUGUCACGGGCGGCGAGCUUCACAGGCACUGGGCCUUCUUCACAUGCACCAGGCCUUUCUUUGGGUGGCGAGCUUCACAGGCGUCGGGCCUUCUCCACAGGCACCGGGCCUUUCUUUGGGUGGUGAGCUUCACAGGCGCCGGGCCUUCUUCAUAGGCACUGGGCCAUUCUUUGGGCGGCGAGCUUCACAGGCGCCAGGCCUUCUUCAUAGGCACCGGGCCUUUCUUCAAGGGUAGAACUUCCAGAGGUGUUGAAUGUUCCAAGCAUUUGGGAUGGCCACCCCCUCCUGAGUCUCUAGGCGUGCGGCGCCAGGCCUGGAAACAUGGACAACCUUGAACGGGCCCUCCCACAUGGGUGAGAGCUUAUGCAGCCCUUCCCUAGAGAGCACCCGCCUGAGCACGAGGUCACCUACCUCGAGAGUCCUGGGGCAGAUGUUGCGGCAGUGGUACCGCCGCAGCGCCUACUGGUAUCUUGCUGCCCGUAGCGUAGCUUCUCGACUGUGCUCCUCCCCCAGCACGAGGUCCAUCCCCCGCAUGGUGUCCUAUUGCGCUUCAUCAAACGCUAGGACCCGCGCGGAGUGAUGCCUGACUUCGUGAGGGAGGACCGCCUCUGCUCUGUAGACGAGGAAGAACGGGGUCUCGCCAGUUGGCUUGGUGGCGGUAGUGUGGAUGGACCACAGAACGGACUGGAGCUCAUCAUGCCAGCCCCUGCCGCAGGCCUCCAGCUUCUUCUUGAAGGUUCUAGUCUUGAGGCCCCUGAGGACCUCCACGUUGGCGUGCCCGGCCUGGCCGUUACUCUGGGGGUGCGCCACCGAAGUGUAGCAUAUCUGUGUUCCAAGGUUAGCACAAUAUGUUUUGAAGAGAUUGCUGGUGAACUGCGAACCGUUGUCAGUGAUGAUGCGGUUAGGGAUCCCAAACCGCCUCACAAGGCCCUUGAUGAACUUGACUGCGGAACCAGCGGGGAUGGUGCGGAUGGCUUCCACCUCCGCCCACUUGGUGAACUUGUCGAUGGCGACGCAGAGGUAGCGGUAGCCCCCAGGCACCCGAGGAAACGGGCCCAAGAUAUCCAGCCCCUAGACCGUGAACGGCCAUGAGAGUGGGAUAGUCUGCAGGCCCUGAGCUGGCUGAUGGAUCUACUUGGCAUGGAAUCGGCAGGCUUCACAUGCCCUCACCAGCUUGAUUGUGUCGUUGAGCAUUGUAGGCCAAUAGAACCCACUGCGAAAUGCCUUGCCGACGAGGGUCCUUGAUGACGAGUGGUGUCCGCAAUCUCCACCGUGUAUGUCAGCCAGAAACUCCUUCCCCUAUUCCCUGGAGAUGCAAUGCAGGGAAACGUCAUUUGGCCGCUUCUGAUAGAGCUCUCUGUCUUGGAUGCAGUAGACCGUGGCCUGCCGGGCCACGCGUUCCGUGUCCUCCUCUUUUUCUGGUAGUGUCCCUUGCAUCAGGUAAUCCUUGAAUUCUGUGGUCCAGCAUCCCUCCUGAGAUUCCAGUGCCAGGAGCAAGCGUGCUCCCGAGGUUGGGCCACAGGCCGGGGCUCCUGUGGAAGGUGGCUGAGGGAGCUCCUCCCAAGGUUGCUCUGUGCUUGACAGUGACAGUGUCGCCGAUGGCUUGAAGAGCCGUUCCUCGAAAACGCCUGGCUCUUGAUGCAUCCGCCUGGAUGCCCUCCUGGCAAUGCCAUCAGCCUCUUGGUUGGUGCCGUGGGGCACAUGCUACAACUCCAGCCCCCAAAACUGUUUUUCGAUCCUGCGCACCUCCGCAAGAUACGCUUCCAUGUGCUCGUCCUUUGGCUCAUACACCUUGUUGGAGAAGUUGACGAGGAGUUGUGAAUCGCCCUUGAUGGUGAGGCGUUUCACCCCCAACGCUGCCGCAGCUUUUAAGCCUGCUAUGAGGCCCUCGUAUUCUGCUAUGUUGUUGGAGACCUUCUCGCCCUGCUGGAAACAAAGCUGCACGGCGUAAUAGAGCUUGUCCUGAGAGGGGGAUAUAAGCACUGCGCCAGCCCCCGCACCAUGUCGCAAGAAUGCUCCAUCGAAGUACAUGACCCAGCCAUCUGGUGCCUCACUUCCCGGGGAAAGCGACUGAUCCUCGCCUGCUUCAAGCCCUGCCGCUUCUGUCCAUUCUGCCACAAAAUUUGCGAGCGCGACCCCCUUAACGACCCUGGUUGUACUGAAUUCCAACUGUAACACUUGCAACUCAAUGUUCCAUUCGGCGACCCUUCCAGCGGAGUUUGGGCUCCUAAGUACCCUUUCCAAAGGAUAGGACGAGACAACCAUGAUGGGGUGACCUUGAAAGUAGUGCCGCAGCUUACGCAAAGCUACCAACAGUGCGAGCAAGAGCUUCUGAGGCAUAGGGUAUCGUGCCCUUGCAUCCCGCAACACCGUGCUGACAAAGUGAACCGGAUGCUCAACGAGGGUGGGGGUGUUGACGAGGUCCGUGCCCUCCGGAGGGUUUGGCACCUCCUGAGGUGACGGAGCCCCCAACGCCUGGCUGCCUGGCGCGGCCUCUUCAGCCCUGGGGGCGUCUUCCUGCUUAGGCUGGUCUCCAUCUGCCGAGGCCAUGGUCUUCAUGAGGCCUUCCUGGUCUUGUGCCGCCGCGGCCGGGGCCGUGGCCGGUCGUGACGCAGCCUUGACUUGGCGCUCUUCCCGAACCGCCACUAGAGCUAUACUGACGGAGUAGGGUGUGGCAGCGAGGUAGAGCACCAGGGGCUCGAGAGGGCGUGGUGCCACCAUCACAGGAGGGCUGGUCAGAUACUUCUUGAGGUCUUGAAACGCUUGGUUGGCCUCCUGUGUCCACUCAAACGGGCCCUUCUUCUUCAUCAUCUUGAAGAAGGGCAGGGCGUGCUCCCCCAGCUUGGAAAUGAAGCAUCCUAAAGCAGUGAUGCGUCCAGCGAGCUUCUGCGUUUCUCUGAGGGCUUGCGGUGGACUCAUGUAUUUGAUUGCCUUGAUCUUCUCCGGGUUGGCUUCGAUCCCUCUAUGGGAUACAAGGAAGCCCAGGAGCUUGCCGGAAGGGACGCCAAACACGCACUUCUCCGGGUUGAGUCGCAGGUCUACCUCGCGGAGGCUCGCGAAGGUCUCCUCCAGAUCCUGGAUCAGGGUUUUUGCCUCCCGAGAAUUUACCACAAUGUCGUUGACGUAAGCCUCGGCGUUUUUCCCAAGCUGCCGGCCUAAGGCAAUGUGCAUCAGCCGUUGGAAGGUUGCGCCUGCGUUGCGCAACCCGAACAGCAUGCAGGUGUAGCAGUACACCCCGCAUGGGGUCAGGAAGGCCAUCUUCUCCACAUCUUCUACUGCCAUCUUGAUUUGGUGAUAACCUGAAAACGCAUCCAAGAAACUCAGCAGGUCGCACUCAGCUGUGGAGUCAACAAUUUGGUCGAUGCGAGGGAGCGGGAACGGAUCUUGAGGGCAUGCCUUGUUGAGGUUGGUGAAGUCGACGCACAUGCGCUCCUUUCCUCCCCUUUUCAGCAUGAUAACAGGGUUUGCCAGCCAUUCGGGGUAGCGAACCUCGCAAAUAACACUUGCUGCCUCUAGCUUGCGGGUUUCUUGGACAAUGAAGGCCUGCUUCUCGGUGGACUGUCGCCUUGCUUUUUGCUUCACGGGGCGUACAUUGGGGCACACAUUCAGGUGAUGCUCAAUCACCUGCCUUGGGACCCCUGCUAGCUUCUUGGGUUCCCAUGCAAACACAUCCUUGUUCGUGCACAAGAACUUCACCAGCGCUUCCUCUUGGUCGGGUCGAGGUUGGCACCUAUGGUGAAGGUGGCUCCCAAGGACUCGUCCUCCUCGACCGGUACUUUCUUGGUCUCCGCCUUGUCCUGAGUAAACAACUGCUUCUUCUUGGUCGGCGCGGCCUCCUUGGCCUUGGAGGUGUCCGUGUCGGCGGGCGAUGCUGCUACGGCUGUUUUGAGGGCGAGCUGGAGCGCCGAUAGAGCAUCCUUGGUAUCUCUAGCUAUAGUGAGGACGCCGCUGCUCCCGGGCAUCUUCAUGAGGUUGUAGGCCGGAUGGGUAGCUGCCAUGAACUGAGACAAGGCGGGGUACCCGAGGAUGGCAUUGUAUGGGAGGCCGAUGUGGGCGAUAUCAAAGUUGACCAGCUCUGUGCGGAAGUUGUCAUGGGUGCCGAAGGUCACAAGAAGGCGGAUCUGCCCCAGGGAGUUGGAGGAACCGCCUCCGACGCCCGAGAAGGGCUUGCUGGGUCGGAGCCGUUCUAGAGGUACAUGGAGGUUGAAGGCCUCCACCGAGCGCACGUUGAGGCCGGCGUCGCCAUCGUUGAGGGUCUUGGUGACGGCCACCUGGUAGAUGGUGGGUGUGCAAAGCAUUGGGAGCGCACCCAAACAGGCGGUGUUGGUGGGGUGGUCGUCCGAGUUGAAGGUCAGGUCGGCCUUGGGUGCCGCCCAACCCGGAGGAGCUUCUUGCCGUGUGAGGGUGGCGCCGAUUUGGUGGAAGAACGACUUGGCGUGGCGGUCUGAGGGCGGUGCCUGCGAGCCGCCAGGAGAGCUGCGAUAACCGGGGGCGUCGGCCCCGCGUAUUGGGUGAGGAGGAGGUUGCAUAGCUCCUCCUAGGAGGCUACAGAAGAUGUUGGCAGGUUGAGCAGCCAAACACGCGGCACACCGGUGAGAGCCAUGGGGAACCAGUUAGCCAUGACCUUGUCGUCACCGCCGGCCUUGAGGAUGGCCUCCUCGUAUGCCAGCAGGAAAACCAGCGGGUCCGCUGCGCCGUUGUAGCACGGCAGCAUCUCUGGCUUGAACUUGUGCGGCCACUGCACCUGCCGCAAGGCGGGGGCCAAGGCUCGGAGCCCCCUGGCCCCAGCACUGGCAUCGGCCGCCGGAGCUGGAGGCGCAUUGUCCGCCAUGAGGGUGAAGUGCAGUGCUAGUGGAGAACGAGCCGACAGAAGGGAGAGCUCCAGCGCACCCCUACCUAGCGCAACAAAUGUCAGAUAUCGGGUUCCGGCAAAACCCUUAAGGUUCAAACUCUGGGGUGCGCUCGAAGAUCUUCUCCCUAUCAAUUCACGCCCACAACCUCGCCGUGAUUCUAAGCUAGCACGAUGAACAAUACAAGAGACGCAAGGCUUAUACUAGUAUGGGCCAUUGUUGUGGUGUAAUACCCUACUCUAGUCUGUGGAGGUGGAUUGACUCUUGGGCUGAUGAUGAAUAGUACAGAGGAAGAACAGCCUCGCAAGGAGAGGUGUUCUUGUGGUGGUGUGCUUGAGGAGGAAUCAAUCCGUCUCUCUUGGCUCUAGAUGAGAUCUGAUUCUCUUACCUUCUACUAUGGUGGCUAGCCCUAUUUAUAGAGGCCCUGGUCCUCUUCCCAAAUAUUGAGCGGGAAGGGAGCCAACAACGGCCAUUUUGAAAGUGGACAACUAGUACAAGCUAUCCUGACUAAAGGUGGUCUUCGACUGCCAAAGGCACUGGUGAUGAUGCCGUCUGGGGCUCCACGGUGACCUCCGUCAUGCCGCUCUUCUGGUCUUGGUCUCAUUGCACCAAUAUGGAAACCUUUGCUUGAUGCCUCGGUACUCCGCGCCUGCGCUUGCCCCCUUUGCACCAAAGAGGAAACGAGGACACUGCGCAGGGUGGUGCCCACCUGGUCUUGAUCGUCAUGGCUUGCAUCAUGAGCACCUCGCAAGGUACCCCUCGCCUUGAUCUCUCCGCCUCCUCGCGAGCCUGCCUGGUGAGGCCGCCCCUGAGGAGGCCUUGUGUCAUCCGCCCCGCGAGGUUUGGCCCCUCGCAAGGGUCUUGAACUUGGGUUGGUGAAGACAUGUCGUACUGGGCCACUGGUGAGCCACGCUGCGGGCCACAGGCAGGCAAGUCUGGGGACCCCCGUUCCCAGAACGCCGACAGUGACACUAUCAUAAGAUGCGUUUGGUUGAAGGUGUGGUAUGAAUGUGUUGGGACCAUGACAGUGUCUGAAUCACAUCUAACAAAUGAUUUGUAACAACGAAAGAAGGUCUAACCUUCUCCGCACAUGCCAGAAAUUUCCUCCCACUAUCCACAGAUUCAAACGCAACUAGCUUCACGCAUGGAGAUUGAUGGUGACAAGGAGCAGAUAGAUCUUCAGCCACCCCUUCCAUUCGUUGCAACUGAUGGUCCUAGGGAACUACAAGAGGAAGAAAUGACUCAAAUUGACCGCCGGGUAGAAAUCCUUCAUUCCAAGUCAUGGCCCGAGAGAGAGAAGACAGGCAUACUUGAGUGUUGAAGGAGUUGGAGGAGGAGGAGGAACUACUGGAGAGGUCUUUGAAGAGGACCAUGGCGACCCUGGCGAGAGCGAGGACGCAAGCGAGGAAGCAGCUAUAGCUGUAACGCCCCGAGACCGAUGCACCAGGUGUCUUCCAGUUAUUCGUCGUCAUUGACAUGUCAUUUGCUUGCGUGUUGCAUUUUGCCAUGUCAUCAUGUGCAUUUCAUCUACAUGUUUUUCCAAACUUGCAUCCGUCUGGGUCCUCCUAGUUCUCUCUGUUGUCCAUUCUGAGAUGAAUAGAAUAAGAUUAAAGCUUUGCGGUGAUAUAGAUGGAGGUUCUGAUGAGAUGGCCGAAGAAAUUUGAACUCCGGAAAAGAAAAGAGGAAAACACUUGGGACUAGAGAUUAUUCAUCAAGAACAAACUCCGGAGGAAGGGAUUACUUGACGGCGAUGAAAUAAAAAUAAGGAUUACAUUAUGCUUAUCCUCAUCAAAUUUAAUUGAUGACAACCGGAUUUGGCAUGCAACUUAUUCCUCUUGAAAAGGAUUGAGGAGUGACAUAGCGCAAACUUAAGAAGGUCUUCAACGAGCCACCGGUAGGAUUGGAAAGAACGAAUGAAUUGAUAUGACGACAAAGGAAGAGGAAUGCUGAAGGAACCACCAUAAGAAUUCGAAAAUGAUUGAUGAAAGAGAAUGAAUCACUGGGAAGAAUUAGAAGAAAAAAAUAUGCUUGAGGGGAUUUAGAUACAAGAGAACAGAGAGAACUCAAGCUAAUUAAAGAACACUUGAACGAAGCAUCGGGAUAAUUGGAUAACGGUAGUUGAAAUGUUAGGACGAAGGAUUCUCCGAGAAUGAUGGCCUUCGGUGAAAUGAAACGGAAAACAACUCCUGACAUACUCCUGAUGGGCAAGGAAAUAAUUUCUGACAAACGGAAUAAUUCAAGAGGAUAACAAAAAACUAUAACCAUGAAUCUUUGGGAGAACGAACAAGAUUUAGGAGAAACUCUUGUCCGGUCUUCCAAUGCUGAGGAUGACAAUGAGAAACACCACCGAAAUUGUUGAGACACUCCGGAAGAAUGAAAAAAGGAAGGGUUGAACCAAAGAUGAAAAGAAUUUGACAGCGAUCUUAGAGAAGGCAUGUGACUAAUUAAAUCCAUUCUUACAUCACACUUUGAAAAGAAUUGAGAAUAGCUCCGGAAUAAUUAGGAGAGUCGGGUAAGAUCCUGGGAAAAGAUCUGUGGGUUAGGGCCCACUAAAAAGAAAACACCGUUGAAAAGGGAUUGUUGAACAGAUAGAUGAUGCACCGGAAUAACUGAAAUAUUUGAAUGAGGUGACAACCUCGAAUUAAUUAGAACACGAACGAAUCUCCUAAGAUGUCUUCCGCACUCCGGAAUGAUUAAAUGGCGAGAGGCGAACAAGCAAGGGGAACAAUUGAUCCAAGGAAAAGAAUAUGAUCAACAUGAAAAACUUGAAUUGAGUCCACCGGAAAAGAAAGAGAUGAAGAAUGGCGAACUAGACAAGAAACCACCAGUUGAAACAAUUGACGAAAGACUGAAGAGGCUCCUCAGGAAUGAAAUUGAUGGUCGAAAGAGACUCAGACUCCGGAAAGAAAAAGUGUGGGAGGGCGGGAAUAACAAAGGCAACUUGGAAGGGCGAACCGAUGAGUAACUUUAAGAGAAAAACACCGGUUGAAAUAAUUGAGGAAAGAAUGUAAAGGCUUCGCAUGAGUAGGAUGGUACUCGAUUACGGACUCCGUCUCCAAGAAGAAAAAGGGUGGGCGGGUGGGAAAAAGAAAACAACUAAGGACGGGGAAACAACGUCGUCGAGAAAGAACUGAGGAUUGAUCCUGGCAAAAACAAGGAGGUCGAAUUGACUUAAUGAGAAAUGCACCGAAUGAAAAGAGCUGAGAACCAACGAUCAGAAAACCAACUGCGUGAUCCUAAAGAAAAUUCGAAGGGGAAGAGGAGUAAGUCAAAACACCUACGUCAAGAUUCCUCACCAGAGCGAUGAAGGGGCAAAGGAGUAAAAAGAAUUCCUACUCUCUGAUAUAACUAGACUCCUGAAAUAGAUUUCUUCUAGACUCAACAACGACCAACUACGAUCAAUCAAGGGGGCUCCUAUGGUCGGUCGAGGCUCUGAUACCAACUUGUCACGCCCAAUAUGUGAUCCUAUCCUAGAGGAACUCGAAGGUCCCACCAAGGAUAGAGCCGCAUAUUGAAACACUUUUGCAAGGUGGAUAUCAUUACAUCGUACCAUUACAUAAUAGAUGGGGAUACAUACAAAAAGGCAUACAAUGCCGCAUGAAUACAACAACAUCAUACAUAAGAGCAACAUCCGACUGUGGAUGAAACACAAACAGAAACUCAAAUGACAUCCACCCUGCUAGCCCAGGCUGCCGACCAGGAACCUAUCCACUGAACAAUGAAGAAGAAGAAGAAGAACUCCAAAACAAACACGCAUCGCUCUCACAUCAUGAUCAUCACAUUACCUGUACCUGCAACUGUUGUUGAAGUAAUCUGUGAGCCACGAGGACUCAGCAAUCCCAUUACCAUGGGUAUCAAGACUAGCAAAGCUUAAUGGGUAUGGAAUGGAUAAGUGGUGAGGUCGCAGCAGCCACUAAGCAAUGUAUGGUGGCUAACUUACGGGUACAAGAAUAAGAUGAGAAGGUAUGCAAACGGUCGCAAACGGUCGCAAACUAGUAAUGAUCAAGAAGUGAUCCUGAACUACUUACGUUCAAACAUAACCCCACCAUGUUCUCUUCUCAACCCACUCGAAAAGAGACCAUCACGGUUACACACGCGGUUGGGUAUUUUAAUUCGAAUCUGGUGUCAAAUUCUCUACAACCGGGUAUUAAAAACUCCCAUCCGCCACAUAACUGCGAGCACGGCUUUCGAAAGAUCAAACCCUGCAGGGUGUCCCAACUUAGCCCAUUACAAGCUCACGAUCCACGGAGACAAUCCUCCAUCACGGGACAUCCGAUCAGACUCGGGAUCCCGGUGCACAAGACAUUUUGACAAUGGUAAAACAAAACCAACAAGACCUCCCGGCAUGUUGACACCCUGAUAGUAGCCACGUGUAUCUCGUCUCAGGCCAUGUCCAGAUGAGCACAUCGUACAACGACUGAGACCCGAGUUGCCCCGGGGGAAGCCGCACACGACUCUAGUUUGGACCAACACUCAGAGGAGCAUUGGCCCGAGGGUUGAUUAAAAAUACUAGGGGUCUGGAGAAAAUCCCCUAUUUAAGUUUUAGUUGAAAUUAGGCAAAUGGUAAAACCAAUAUUGGGCCUUGCUGGAAGAGUUUUAUUCAAAGCGAGCUGUCAAGAGGGGCCCAUAAACCCUCAUCGUGUUAGGGACGCAAAAUCAUGGAACAUAACACCGGUAUGAUGGAAACUAGGGCAGCAAGAGUGGAACAAAACACCAGGCAAAAAGGCCAAGCCUUCCACUCUUUACCAAGUAUAUAUGUGCAUUAAUUAAAUAAGAGGUAUUAUGAUAUCCCAAGAUAUCCAUGAUAUCCAUGUUCCAACAUGGAACAACCUGCAACUACACCUGCAACUAGCAACACUAUAAGAAGGGCUGAGCAAAGCAGUAACAUAGCCAAACAACGGUUUGCUAGGAAGGGUGUAAAAGGUUAGAGGUUGUCAUGGCAAUUUGGGAGGCUUGAUAAACAAGUGGUAGGUAGCGCGACAUAGCAAUAGCAUCAAGACAACUAGCAUAGCAAUGAUAGUAGUGAGAUCCAGGGUAACCGUCAUCUUGCCUGAAAUCCCGCUAGGAAGAAGAACACGUCCAUGAAGAAGACGAACGACCGUAGACGAACCAAGCAUAGACGAACGAAUCCUCACGAUCGCAACGAAACAGGAACUAUCAAGAAGAAGUACAACCAAAAAGAAGCAAACCACACGGUAAACACUCAACACAUAAACAAGGCAUGAUGCACAUCCAAGUAUGAUGCAUGACAGGGCUAUGUGAUGCUACUCAAUGCAAGAGAUGAUGCAUACAAGAACAACACAUCAAAACAAGUUUAAAUGAGGCCAGAAACAACAUAUAACAAUUCCGAUAAGUCCUCAUGCGAAUUUCGAAAUUGGUCCAGAUCUGAAUAACACAUUAUGUUCAAGUUGUUAGAAAGCAAGUUAAGAUGCACCAUGAUGAUCUACAUGACAUUCUAAUCAAUUUACAUAUAAAGUUCAUUUAAUUCGGAGCUACGGCCUAGAAGAUACGAGCAACACAAAUUAAACAUGGCAUUGAUGCAAAAUGCAUCCAAACAUCAAGAAAACACUCUCAAAACAUGGAUCCAACAAGAUAAUAUGAAACUACAUGCAAUUCUAAGCAAGUUUCAUAUGGAGCAUGCUCAAAACGGAGCAACGGUGCAACACAUACACUCCAAACAAGUUUAAAGGACAAGUUGUCCAAAACAGCAAGUAGGCACUUUGCAAUCAUCAAAACAACAUGCUAUAGGAAUCAUAUGAGCACAAACUUGACAUGCACUUCAUGUACAUAUAACAUACUUCAAAUAUCAUUAAGGUUAAGGUUCAUAGGCAUCAAUAUUAAACCAAUAUGAUCAAUGCAAAAAGAAACUUUAUAACACAGGGACACGAGCAGAGUUCACAGGAUGACAUGUUGGAGGCAUGAAACAAAGAUGCUAUAGAAACUAUACAUAGAAACCAAGGGCAUGGCAUAAAAGUACACAUAACAAAGAGCAAAUAACAUCAUGGCAUAAUAUGCAUAUGGCUCAUGGAUUAGUGGGAACCAGCAAGACAAGUUUGAAUGUUGAAACAGUUUCAGCAAGUGUAAAACAACAACAUUAUUAUAGCAUGUUUGCAAGCAUGAAACAUAGGUCAUAUAAAGUCCAAAACUAACAACCAUGGCAUGUGAACAAUGUACUCAUAGCAACGUCAAAACAUGUAAUUGGAGCAUCUCCAGAAUAGGCAUAGAUUAACUAAUAUCAAGCUCACAACAUGGCAUCAUGAAGUUAACAGGAAGCUGGAACAUCAUUUAGGCAAGUUCAUGGCAAUGCAAACAUAUGCUAUAGGACAUAUGCUACAUGGCAAUGCAAACCACUUGUUUAUCAAGCCUCCCAAAUUGCCAUGACAUCCUCUAACCUUUUACAUCCUUCCUAGCAAACCGUUGUUUGUCUACAUUAUCGCUUUGCUCAGCCCUUCUUAUAGCAUUGCUAGUUGUAGGUGCAGUUGCAGGUUGUUCCAUGUUGGAACAUGGAUAUCAUGGAUAUCUUGGGAUAUCACAAUACCUCUUAUUUAAUUAAUGCACAUAUAUAAUUGGUAAAGGGUGGAAGGCUCGGCCUUUUUGCCUGGUGUUUUGUUCCACUCUUGCCGCCCUAGUUUCUGUCAUACCGAUGUUAUGUUCCUUGAUUUUGCGUCCCUAACACGAUGAGGUUUUAUGGGCCCCUCUUGACAGUUCGCUUUGAAAAAAAAAUCUUCCAGCAAGGCCCAACAUUGGUUUUACCAUUUUCCUAAUUUCAACUAAAACUUAAAUAGGGGAUUUUCUCCGGACCCCUAGUAUUUUUAAUCAACCCCCAGGCCAAUGCUCCUCUGAGUAUUGGUCCAAACUAGAGUCGUGUGCGGCUUCCCCCGGGGCAACUCAGAUCUCAAUCGUUGUAUGCUGUGCUCAUCCAGACGUGGCCUGAGGUGAGAUACGCGUGGCUACUAUCAGGGUGUCGGCACGCUGGGAGAUCUUGCUGGUUUUGUUUUACCAUUGUCAAAAUGUCUUGUGUACCGGGAUCCCGAGUCUGAUCGGAUGUCCCGCGAUGGAGGAUUGUCUCCGCGGAUCGUGAGCUUGUAAUGGGCUAAAUUGGGACACCCCUGCAGGGUUUGAUCUUUUGAAAGCCGUGCCCGCGGUUAUGUGGCAGAUGGGAGUUUUUAAUAUCCGGCUAUAGAGAACUUGAUACCAGAUUCGAAUUGAAAUACCCUACCGCGUGUGUAACCGUGAUGGUCUCUUUUCGAGUGGGUCAAGAAGAGAACACGGUGGGGUUAUGUUUGAAUGUAAGUAGUUUAGGAUCACUUCUUGAUCAUUACUAGUUUGUGACUGUUUGUGUAGCUUCUCAUCUUAUUCUUGUACCCGUAAGUUAGCCAUCAUACAUUGCUUAGUCGCUGCUGCAACCUCACCACUAAUCCAUUCCAUACCCAUUAAGCUUUGCUAGUCUUGAUACCCAUGGUAACGGGAUUGCUGAGUCCUCGUGGCUCGCAGAUUACUACAACUACAAUUGUAGGUACAGGUAAUGCGAUGAUCAUGAUGGGAGAGUGACGCGUGUUUGUUUUGGAGUUCUUCUUCUGCUUCUUCGUUGUUCAGGGGAUAGGUUCCUGGUCGGCAGCCUAGGCUAGCAGGGUGGAUGUCGUUUGAAUUUCUAUUUGUGUUUCAUCCAUAGCCGGAUGUUGCUCUUGUGUAUGAUGUUGUUGUAAUCAUGCGGCAUUGUAUGCCUUUUUGUAUGUAUCCCCAUCUAUUAUGUAAUGGUACGAUGUAAUGAUAUCCACCUUGCAAAAGCGUUUCAAUAUGCGGCUCUAUCCUUGGUGGGACCUUCGAGUUCCUCUCGGAUAGGAUCUCAUAUUGGGCGUGACAAUAGCUUAGGAAGGAAGGGAGGGGGAAACAGGGGAAAUGUUACUUGUGAUCGGGGAGAAAAGGGGAUGGGGAGGCGGGAAGGGUAGAUAUUUCGGAGGUAGGCUAAAAAUUUCGAAAUGUGGAGGGAAACUUUGCGCGCGGUGCCGCCGGAUACCAUUCACUCUGAACGAUAGUGUGCAUCGCAAACGAUUCUUCUGCUUAACGCGCAUGGGAUGAGUUUGACAAUUGAAAUUUAGGUGGAAAUUUCCCCGCGUAUGUCAUUGCAUAAUUUAACAUCGCUUGCUAAUUUGGGCACACAAAAGAGCAUACAACACAAAGACCAGACUUACUGAAUCGAGCAAUUUUGGUAAUUAAACAGAGACAAUUCACCUAAACAUUGCUCUAACAAAAGACCAGCAUUAAAAACAAAGCCUAAGUACUAAUAAUUUUAACAAAUUGAAAGUGAAACUAUACCUGGGUGGUUUUGGUAAUGAUUAACAACAUAUAGCUCAUUGAACUAAUGCUAUUUCAAGAUGAAUAUUUUAGGAAAGUUCAAUGUUUGGCAUGGCAUGGAUUAGGAAUGUGGACCCCUCAAAAUGCUAAGGACAAAGGAUUGGCUCAAUCUAUAAAAGCUCAAGACUCUACAUUUUACUUUUAGUGAUCCAAGAUCACAUUGAGUCCAUAGGAAAGCCAUCAGAACAUGCCUUCACUUCCAGCAUUCAUUUUCUGAGAGAGAACCACCUACUCAUGUGUUGGGGCCAAGAUAUUUCAAUCCUACCAUAUGAAUCUUUAUCUCUAGCCUUCCCCAAGUUGCUUUCCACUCAAAUUAUCUUUCCACCAAAUCCAAUCCUAUGAGAGAGAGUUGAGUGUUGGGAAGACUAUCAUUUGAAGCACAAGAGCAAGGAGUUCAUCAUCAACACACCAUCUAUUACCUUUUGGAGAGUGGUGUCUCCUAGAUUGGUUAGGUGUCAUUUGGGAGCCUCCGUCAAGAUUCUGGAGUUGAACCAAGGAGUUUGUACGGGCAAGGAGAUCGCCUACUUCGUGAAGAUCUACCCUAGUGAGGCAAGUCCUUCGUGGGCGAUGGCCAUGGUGGGAUAGACAACGUUGCUUCUUCGUGGACCCUUCAUGGGUGGAGCCCUCCGUGGACUCGUGCAGCCGUUACCCUUCGUGGGUUGAAGUCUCCAUCAACGUGGAUGUACGAUAGCACCACCUAUCAGAACCACGCAAAAAAUCUUCAUGUCAACAUUGCGUUUGCUCCCUACUAACUCCUCCCUUUACCUUCAUAUGCAAUUAUUUACAUUCCGUUGCUAUACUCUUAGAAUUCCAUGUGUAGGUUGAUUGCUUGACUUGUGCUAAGUUGCUAAAAUCUGCCAAGAACUAAAAUUGGGAAAAGGCUAGAUUUUUAUUUGGUCAAGUAGUCUAAUCACCCCCCCCCCCCCGUCUAGACAUACUUUUGAUCCUACAAGUGGUAUCAGAGCUACGGUCUCCAUUGGCCUUGAUUUCCAUAGCUUUUGGUGAUCAUAGCCUUGGUUUCACAACCUAGGAGAGUAUGGCGUCUAGCGAGGGAAAUUACCAUCGUAGAGGUCCUUACUUUGAUGGUACUAAUUUUGCUAGUUGGAAGCAUAAGAUGAAAAUGCAUAUUCUUGGACAUAACCCCGCCGUUUGGGCUAUUGUGUGUAUUGGCUUGCAAGGUGAAUUCUUCGAUGGGAGAGAACCGAACCGUGAAGCUACCGAGCAAGAGUUGAAGAUGCUGCAAUACAAUGCUCAAGCUUGUGAUAUACUCUUCAACAGACUGUGCCCCAAAGAAUUCAACAAAAUCAGCCGCCUUGAGAAUUCAAAGGAAAUUUGGGAUACUUUUAUUGAUAUGCACAAAGGUACCAACUCCGUCAAGGAAUCCAAAUUGGAUGUGCUUCAAAGUCAACUUGACCAGUUGAAAAUGAAGGAUGGUGAAGGUGUCGCUGAAAUGUACUCUAGGCUUGCUCUCAUCACAAAUGAGAUUGCCGGCUUAGUAAGUGAAGAGAUGAAGGAUAGAUUCAUCAUCAAGAAGAUCCUAAGAGCCUUGGAUGGAAAAUAUGAUACCGUGUGCACAUUGAUCCAAAUGAUUCCCAAUUACAAAGAUCUCAAGCCAACGGAAGUCAUUGGAAGAAUUGUUGCUCAUGAGAUGUCCCUCAAGGAUAAAGAGGAACUUCAAAACAACUCAAGUGGUGCUUACAAAGCCUCAUGUGAUUCUCCUACAUCAUCAAGUGAUAAACAAACCUUCAAUGAAUAAUUAAGCCUAAUGGUGAAGAACUUCAACAAGUUCUACAAGAGUAGAAGCAAGGAAAGAAGUUCCAAAUCAAGGUCAUACAAUGACAAAAGAUCUUCGAGUCGUGAACGUAAUUGCUACAAUUGUGGAAGUCCCGGACACUACUCCAAUGAGUGUACGGCUCCCUACAAAAGGAGAGAAGAUUCACCUAAAAGAAGAAGGAGAAUAGAAGAAUCACCACUAAGAGAGAGGAGUAGAGAUGAUCGUUAUGAAUGAAGAACCUACCGGAGAAGCAAGGAUUCGGAAAGGAACGACAAAUCAUCAAAGAGAUACACAAAGCAAAGACAUCAAGCACACGUUGGUGAAUGGGUAUCCGGCUCCGACUUCAACCAUCACUCCGAAAGAAGUUAUCACUCCGACUCCGAAUAUACUCAAGAUGAAGGUGUUGCCGGUCUAACACUUGUGUCAACCAACUCCUAUGACAUAUUUGACUCACCAAAUGAAGGAAUUGGAAGAUGCUUCAUGGCUAAAGGUCCAAAGGUAUAACACCCCGAGUAUGUUGAUUUCAAUAGUGAUGAAGAUGAUUUGUUAGGUGACGAUGAUUUACUUGUUGACAACUCUAGUGAUGAAUACUAUGAUGAAACAUCAAUUAAUCAUGCUAAUCAAGAUAAAACGAAUGACAAUGAUAAGGAGAAGAUUGAGCAUCUAACUAAAGAGCUAAAUACUCUUAAGUUAGCUCAUGAAACUACCUUGGAAGAUCAUUGAGAACUUUUAAAGACUCAUGAGAAGUUACGCUUUGAAAACACCUUUCGCAAGAAAAGUUCUUCUUACAUUGCCAAGCAUUUACUCUUGUCUACUUACAUGCCACAAGUUAAAUCUAGCAACAAAAGUAAGAAAGAAUCUUCUUCUAGUAGUAACAAUAAUCAUGCUAAAUCCAAUGUUGUUGCUUUUAGUAGUUCUCUUGAUUCCACUAAUGAUUCUCUUAGCCAAGUUACACUUGAGCAAGAAAAUAUCUUAUUGAAGGGAAUUAUAGAGAAAGGUGUUUACAAGAGCCUUGUCGGAAGUAAGCAAUUUGAGGAAAUUGUACGCAAGCAAGGAAGGCACCGGAAGAAUCAAGGUGUUGGUUUUGAACAAAUGUUCAAUGCCAAUGGAGCUGAGUGGGAAGAAGAUCAAUACCCCAAGAUGAAGUUUGUUCCUCAACAAGAGAAGUAUGAUCCUACUUUCCAAGGGACACAAGCUCAUGAUGAUCUUCCACCACAAGACCACAAGCAAAAAAGGCAAGGAUAAGCUUCAAGAGGAGAUUGAUGCAUUUGAAGAAGCUCCCAAGGCCUUGGUCAAGUGGGUUCCCAAGACUACAUCAAGUUCUACUUCAUCAAGUAUGACUACAACCCCAAGUAUUCCCAUCAAGAUGAUCUGGAUCCCGAAGAAUAAGAAAUAGAGAGUUAUUGAGGGUGACUCUGCCAACACACUUCACUCAUAUCAUUUUGGCAAGAACAAGUGCAAACAACUUCCACAUCUUGCACUAGUUCAUGGAGUCACAAACCCUCUUGUUGGUAAGACAAGGGACAAGGUAACCUAAUGCUUUCAUGGACAUCAUGUGUGUGUACAUCACUCUAUGUCUAUGGGUAUCCUUGUUUGCUCCUUGUGGGACUAACCCGUGUAGGUAUUGGAAGUGCAACUCACUCCAAUGGAUUGCUCCGAAUGAUCUACAUCAACAUUGAGAAUCCACAUCUUCAACACCUACAUGAAGUCAUCAUCGACAAAAACCCAAGGUUAGUUCAUCCCUCUUGAGGGGAUAUCACAUCUAGGGGGAGCUCUACUCUAAGAAUUGAGCUAAAGCAACUCUAAUGGUGUGAACACAACAAUGCUUUAUGUAAAAGUGGUAACCCCACUUGUGCUUAAACGAUGAGUAUGACCUAUGAUCAAAUGUUCUCAUUUGACUCCUAAGUCAAUAUACUCAUAUAUAGAUCACCUAGUCAUCGCAAAUUGCUUGAUAGAUGCUAGAGUGUUUGUGCAUGCUUUGCCACACAUUUCAUUUUCCAUUUUAUUGAGUGAGCAUGUUGGUUGCAUAUUUUACUCAUUCGAGGACAUCCACUUGUUGCUUUGAUUGUUUGGCUCUUUCUCUUUUUGCCAAGUGGAUGGACAAGAAUGCCUAAGAACCUUCUCUAGCUAUCUAUGCUUUUCUCGUCUCAAACUCUAUUCAUGCUACAUCACAAAGUUUGAUCAAUUCAGAUUCAAACCACUCUGUGUGAGGAGCACUUGGAGUCCCUAAUACGUCUCAGACUUAAACUUCCAAAACCUCUUUGUGCAUUUUGGUAUGACCGAGUCAUCCACUUCGGUCAUACCGAGUUCACUAAGUUGAUCUAGGUUUUCAUCUCAGUGCAAUUGAUUUGAACAUUUUGGUCACACCGAGUUGCAGCAACCGCUUGUGAUUUUGCAUCUUGGUGCCACCGAGUUGUUCCACUUGGUCACACCGAUAGGGUCGGGAUAUAUAUACCCACGGGUGAGAUUUCGGAAAUUUCUUCAAAAUCCCUCAGGUCGUGCAUAUCCUGCUCUACCUCCUCAGGUCUCCGGAUCGCAUCCUCAUCGCCAAUGACCUCCUGCCGCUGGUUUCUAUCAUCGUCAACGGAAUCUGCUCCGCCGUUGCCGCCGUAGCGAACACCUGCCGAACUAGGGUAUGUGUUUGACCCCUUGUGCUCUCUUUUUUCCUCUGAUUCGAAGCACAAGGUCAAUGCCAUGAUUCUUGCCACAUAUGAAAUCAAUCUAUCCAUAAAAAAAUCCUUAGGUUUAGUUUGAUUCAAAAAUUUAGGGUUAGAUCACCGCUGUACUCAUCUCGGACCGACCGAAUCGUAGAAACCGGUCUCACCGAUUUGGCUUAGGCCAUUGCAUAUGCGCUUUUCAGUCUGACCGAAAACUGCAAGUCGGUGUGACCGAGUUCAAUUCUCUGUGAAACCCUAGUAAUAUCGGUGCCACCGAACUAUGACUUGGUCUGACCGAGUUCACUAGUUUAGGUUCCAAAUGUUGCUUGGGUAUCACCGAGUUUAUCAAUUUGGUAGCUCCGAAAUCAUUUCAGUAGAGAACUAAAGCUAAGUUUUUGACUCAUUUGUUUUGCAAAAAUCUCUGCGCUUUGUGAUGCUCAUCUACUCUACCUCAUCUAUAUCUAUUCAUAGGGUUUGCUAUCAGUUUUCCUGCCAAGAUGUCUGACCAGAGUGAUAGCCAGAAUAAGUCUGAAGAGCAAGUGCAAAUGAGUGAGGGCACUACUACCUCAAGCAUCUAUGAUGAAGGCAGCAGGAGCACACCAAGUAACUUGCCCAAGGCAGCCACUAGAUCAAGGAAGAAGAAAACCUCAGACUCUGAGGAUGAGGAUUAUGUUGCUGUUGAGGAUGAGGCCACCUCAAAGAAGAAGGUGAUGAAGAAGAAGUAUGGCACUACUACUACCACAAAGCCUGGUAUGAACAAGAAGGCACCAGCAAGGAGAGUUCCAACAUCCAAGCCAAGGAAAGUUGCAAUAGGAGAAACCAUGAAAUUCACACUAGAAUCAGAUGAUGGUGAAGCAGUUGGAGAUGGCUAGAAGAAGAAGAAGAAGAGGGCAAGAACCACAACUGCAAAAGUUAUUGGAAAGUCAAGUAUGGUGAGAGAUUCUGAAGAGGAAGAGGAAGAGGAUGCUGCACCAGCACCCAAGUCACAAAAGUUUAUGGGAGAUGUAAUCAAGUCAGGGGCUGCACCUAAGCCCAAACCUGCUCCCAAAGCUUCUGCUCAAACCACCAAGUUUGCACCCAAGAGAAUCACCAGAAACAUCCCAGCUGAAGAGAAGAACAAGGCCCCAGUGCCUGAAGUUGAAGAAGAAGAUGCUGAAGCCCAAGUGCCGAGAAAGCUCAAACCAAAGAUUCCAGACCACAAUGACACUCAUCCAGUGGCAGAGGACAUGAACAUCAAGAAGGAUGCAGGUCUGAGACUUUGGAGGAAGAAUGAUCCUUAUGCCGUGAGAAGGAGAACUGCUAUGGACUAUAGAUUCCACACCAAAGAACAUCAAGACUUCUAUGAGAUCAUUCUGCUUGACAAGAAGCCAAUUGUCUGUGAUAUGAGAUGGAUUGACUGGACAUACAUCAAGAGAAUGAAGAUCACUUUCCAGGUGUAUAUGACAGUUUCAAAGCUUGUGGAGUUGACAAGUUUGUUGGACAGAAGCUCACCAAUGGAAUGAUGAGCUAAUCAUGCAAUUCUACUCCACUUCUCAUUUCUAUCCAGAUGGAAGGAUAACGUGGAUGUCUGAAGGUACAAGGUAGCAGUCAACUGUUAAUGAAGGGGUCAAGCUAAUCAAUGCUCCAAAAGACCAUGAGGAUGAUUUGUAUGUGUAUGCCAAGAAGAAGAAAGACCAUAACUCCAUGGCAAGUAUGUACAAGGAAAUUCCUGAUGAAGCCCUGGAAACUCAUAAGUUGGGCUCUGUGAAAUACUUGUUGUCUGAUCUGCCUACUAUUAACACCAUCUUGAGGCAUACUCUGUUGCCCAAGUCUGGAGAUCAUAGGAUGAUAAGAGUACAUUCAAUCAACUUGCUGCACAUUUUUGAUGCCCCUAAAAAAUUCAAGGUCAUGAGUCUGAUUGUAGAGACAAUCAAGAGGACAACUGCUGACCAGAAAAGAUCUUGUGGGUAUGCUCCACAAAUUCAGCUGCUCAUCAACUCAAAGAUGGGCAUAGGCACUUAAUUGUUGGACAAGGAGCACUUACCUCUCAAGACAGAUUUUGAAGACAACACAGUUGUCAUGGAUGAGAAUGAUCCUUCAUCAGUGCAAGCACAUGAGAAGAGAGCAAAGGCAAGGGCAGAAAAAGUUGCAAAGAUGCCAAGUGCUAAAGAAGCAUCUCAAGUGUUCUUGAAGAGCAAACAAGAUCAACUUGGAUUUCUGAUCCAAUCUAUCUUGAUGAUUGAGAAGGGCUUGGCCACCCUGACUCAGAAUCGGGAGAGCUUGGAGAGGAUCAUUAAACAAAAAUUCUAUGAUCUUGAUCUGAAAGUCACUAAGAUACAGACAGUAGUUGAGCAGCUCCAGGAGGAAGCAGAGGAGAAGAAAGGAAAGGCAACUACAUAAGAUUUUCAGUAUGUGCCAAGAGGUCAGAGGUCGGCUGCAGUGCCAGUACUCGAUACUAGAGCAACUACAUCUGCACCAGCAGCCACAUCUUCAGUGCCACCUCCAGCAGCCACUCCAACAGCUCUAGCUACAUCAACUGAAGCCUUCGUCCUUGGAGUCAUCUCUACACCACCUCACGGAGACCAAGCCUGAGAGACGCAUAACACUAUGCAUAUUUGAACUUUUUGGUAACUUGUUGCCAAAGGGGGAGAAAUAUGUAUAGAUCAUAGGCUUCGAGAGAGUGUGUUGCUUUUUGUCUCUCUUGCACUUUAUUUGGUUGAACUUUAUUGUAUGUUUGUUUGAUACCUUAUGCCCUUGUGUGAGAUACUUGAAUGAUCAUGUGCUUGAUCAUAUGCUACUUUAAUGUGUGUUUGGAUGAUAUUAUCUCUUAUAUCCCGAUAUGAUCAUACACUUUGCUUGGUGAUGAGUGCAUGCUUUUAAUUGCUAUGAUUUUGAGUGCUCCACCAAGAUGUAUGUGACAUGGAAGAGUAACACAUGAUACUAAUCAAUUGUGCAUUUGCAUUCAAAAGCAAAUCUUAAAUAAUGCACAAAUUUAGGGGGAGCUCUUGCUUAUCACAUACUUCUCAAAGUGACGAUGUAUUUCAAUCUUAUUAUCAUUUGUCGAAGAUUUGAUCUAUAUGUUGUCAUCAAUUACCAAAAAGGGGGAGAUUGAAAGUGCAACUAUCCCUGGGUGGUUUUGGUAAUGAUUAACAAUAUAUAGCUCAUUGAACUAAUGUUAUUUCAAGAUGAAUAUUUCAGGAAAUUUCAAUGUUUGGCAUGGCAUGGAUUAGGAAUGUGGACCCCUCAAAAUGCUAAGGAUAAAGGAUUAGCUCAAGAUCUAAAAGCUCAAGACUCUACAUUUUACUUUUAGUGAUCCAAGAUCACAUUGAGUCCAUAGGAAAGCCAUCAGAACAUGCCUUCACUUCCAGCAUUCAUUUUCUGAGAGAGAACCACCUACUCAUGUGUUGAGGCCAAGAUAUUCCAAUCCUAACAUAUGAAUCUUGAUCUCUAGCCUUCCCCAAGUUGCUUUCCACUCAAAUCAUCUUACCACCAAAUCCAAUCCUAUGAGAGAGAGUUGAGUCUUGGGGAGACUAUCAUUUGAAGCACAAGAGCAAGGAGUUCAUCAUCAACACACCAUCUAUUACCUUUUGGAGAGUGGUGUCUCCUAGAUUGGUUAGAUGUCACUUGGGAACCUCCGUCAAGAUUGUGAAGUUGAACCAAGGAGUUUGUAUGGGCAAGGAGAUCGCCUACUUCGUGAAGAUCUACCCUAGUGAGGCAAGUCCUUCGUGGGCGAUGGCCAUGGUGGGAUAGACAAUGUUGCUUCUUCGUGGACCCUUCGUGGGUGGAGCCCUCUGUGGACUCGCGCAGCCGUUACCCUUCGUGGGUUGAAGUCUCCAUUAAUGUGGAUAUACGAUAGCACCACAUAUCGGAACCACGCCAAAAAUCUCCGUGUUAGCAUUGCGUUUGCUCCCUCCAAACUCCUCCCUUUACCUUCAUAUGCAAUGAUUUACAUUCUGCUGCUAUACUCUUAGAAUUGCAUGUGUAGGUUGAUUGCUUGACUUGUGCUAAGUUGCUAAAAUCUGCCAAGAACUAAAAUUGGGAAAAGGCUAGAUUUUUAUUUGGUCAAGUAGUCUAAUCACCCCCCUCUAGAGAUACUUUCGAUCCUACACAAAUCCGCCACCAAGCCGACCUAUGCAUCAUCGGUGUGAGAUGAGACGGCGAUGACUUGUCCUGGCGACAUGCCACUAUUGGUGGACUCCGUGCCCGCCUGCUGAAGUCGUCCGCAUCCUUGUCCUCGUCCUCGGAGCCACCCUCAAGGUUGUAGUAGUCGUAGUAGUGGCUACGCCAGGGCUCGCGUUGGUACUCCACCACCGAUUCCUCGACGGAUAGACUCUUCUCUACCAUGACCUAGGCCAUGCACAACUCCUCCUCCUAGCGCUCCUCGAUCUCUGCCGCCUCCUCCAUCUGCAGCUCCCGCUCGAUGACCUCAUGAGGAAGCAGGUGCUCCAUGGCCAUGGCCGCCUUUUCGUGCGUGGGUUGCAUGCUGGAUUCCGAGGUGGCCUAGAAUAUCUUAGCGUGGAUGGCAUCAACCCGGGCCAGGGCGACAUCGGCGGCACGAACGGCAGCUCGAGCGCUCUCGGCGUUUGCAGCCGCCGUCGCAGUAGCAGCUGCAGCCGUCUCGGCUGCUGCAGCUGCCCUGUCGGCUGUCGUAGAUGCCCUCUCGGCGGAAGAGGACGCGCUCAAUGCGGAUGUGGCGGCACUCUCGGUGUAGGCAGCCGCACUCCGGGGGGCGCGGCCAUCGUACGGGCCUUCAUGAAGUGUUUCCACGGCGUCAUCUUUGCAAGAAGGGGGUGGGCGAAUGGGGAUCGGGAUUUGUGGAUUCUGGGGUUGUCGGCACUGGAGCAGACGAGCCAGCGAAGCUUAAGGAGAAAGACUUAAAUAGACCCAGAAUUUUUCGUCGCAAACGAUUCCUACAAAACAAUUGUGUGUGAUGUUGUAGAUAUUUUUUAUUAGAUGUUAAAGAUGAAUUUGGAGUAAAGUGGCAACAGAUGGUGUUUUAAAUGUACGAGAAAAUUUGUAGUACUAAUACAACUGUCAUGCCAAAAUUUGGAAAAUUUCAGGGGUCAUUUGACCUUUUAAGACAUUUAAGUCAUUUUCUAGCCAUUUAAUGACUAUAAUUGAAAAGUCAUAUUUUGUGUACUUGUGUGCGAUUUAAUUCCACGUGCAGUAAGUUGGAAGAAUUUUCAAACAUAUUGGUCUAACGACUAUGGCACAAUUAAGCAUGGAGUUCCAUGGCAUUUAAAUUCCAAAAAAUUAAAAACAUGAAACCUUGCUUGAUGUAAUGUCAUACCACCAAGUUGAUGUGGUACAAAAAUUGGCCUGUUUGACGAAAGUUUGGACACACACCCCUCACAAACCAGAGCAACUCACUAGAAGGCUCGUGGUUCCGAGAUGGAAUAAUGCAUGUUUGAUGACGAAUGGCAGAUAGCUUCCUCUUACGGCCUUCAAAAAAAUUCUACGUGUAAUGUGCACUGAUACUAACUGUCAUGUGAAAAAUUGGAAAAUUUCAGGGGUCAUUUGACCUUUUGAAGACAUUUAAGUAAUUUUCUAGCCAUUUAAUGACCAUAAUUCAAAUUUGAACUAGAUGUAUAUGCAACGGCUAACCAUAACGGUUUGAAAAAUCAUAUUUGUGUACUUGUGUGCAAGUUAAUUCCAUGUGCAGUAAAUUAGAAGGAAUUUUCAAACAUAUUGGUCUCACGGCAUGGACACAUGCAUGGAGUGCCAUGGCAUUUUAAUUCCAAAAAAUUAAAAAAUGAUCAACAAAACAUGAAACUUUGCUUGAUGUAAUGUCAUGCCACCAAGAUGAUGUGGUACAAAAAAUGGUCUGUUUGACGAACGUUUGGACACACACCCCUCACAAACCGGAGCAACUCACUAGAAGGCUCAUGGUUCCGAGAGGGGGAAUAAUGCAUGUUUGAUGACAAACAGCAGAUAACUUCCUCUUACACCCUUCAAAAGUUUUCUACGUGUAAUGUGCACUGAUACAAACUAUUAUGUGAAAAAUUUGGAAAAUUUUGGGGGUCAUUUGACCUUUUGAAGACAUUUAAGUGAUUUCCUAGCCAUUUAAUACCGUAAUUCAAAUUUGAACUAGAUGUACAUGCAACGGCUAACCAUAACGGUUUGAAAAAUGAUAUUUGUGUACUUGUGUGCGAGUUAAUUCCAUGUGUAGUAAAUUAGAAGGAAUUUUCAAACAUAUUAGUCUCACGGCAUGGACACAUGCAUGGAGUGCCAUGGCAUUUUAAUUCCAAAAAAUUAAGAAAUGAAUCAGGAAAACAUGAAACCUUGCUUGAUGUAAUGUCAUGCCACCAAGAUGAUGUGGUACAAAAAUUGGCCUGUUUGACGAAAGUUUGGACACACACCCCUCACAAACUGGAGCAACUCACUAGAAGGCUCGUGGUUCUGAGAGGGAACAAUGCAUAUUUGAUGACGAACGACAGAUAGCUUCCUCUUACGGCCUUGGAAAUUUUUCUACGUGUAAUGUGCACUGAUACAAAUUGUCACAUGAAAAUUUGGAAAAUUUCAGGGGUCAUUUGACCUUUUGAAGACAUUUAAGUGAUUUCCUAGCCAUUUAAUGACCGUAAUUCAAAUUUGAACUAGAUGUACAUGCAAUGGCUAACCAUAACGGUUUGAAAAAUCAUAUUUGUGUACUUGUGUGCGAGUUAAUUCCAUGUGUAGUAAAUUAGAAGGAAUUUUCAAACAUAUUGGUCUCACGGCAUGGACACAUGUACAUGCAUGGAGUGCGAUGGCAUUUUUAUUCCAAAAAAAUUAAAAAAUGAUCAGAAAAACAUGAAACCUUGCUUGAUGUAAUGUCAUGCCACCAAGAUGAUGUGGUACAAAAAUUGGCUUACUUGAUGGAAGUUUGGACACACAUCCCUCACAAACCGGAGCAACUUACUAGAAGGCUCGUGGUUCCGAGAGGGAACAAUGCAUGUUUGAUGAUGAAUGGCAGAUAGCUUCCUCUUACGGCCUUCAAGAAUUUUCUACGUGUAAUGUGCACUGAUACAAAAUGUCAUGUGAAAAUUUGGAAAAUUUCAGGGGUCAUUUGACCUUUUGAACACAUUUAAGUGAUUUCCUAGCCAUUUAAUGACCGUAAUUCAAAUUUGAACUAGAUGUAUAUGCAACGGCUAACCAUAACGCUUUGAAAAAUCAUAUUUGUGUACUUGUGUGCGAGUUAAUUCCAUGUGCAGUAAAUUAGAAGGAAUUUUCAAACAUAUUGGUCUCACAACAUGGACACAUGCAUGGAGUGCCAUGGCAUUUUAUUCCAAAAAAUUUAAAAAUGAUCAGAAAAACAUGAAACCUUGCUUGAUGUAAUGUCAUUCCACCAAGAUGAUGUGGUAAAAAAUUGGCCUGUUUGACGAAAGUUUGGACACACACCCCUCACAAACCGAAGCAACUCACUAGAAAGCUCGUGGUUGCGAGAAGGGAACAAUGCAUGUUUGAUGACGAACGACAGAUAGCUUCCUCUUAUGGCCUUCAAUUUUUUUCUACGUGUAACGUGCACUAAUACAACUGUCAUGUGAAAAUUUGGAAAAUUUCAGGGGUUAUUUGACCUUUUGAAGACAUUUAAGUGAUUUUCUAGCCAUUUAAUGACCGUAAUUCAAAUUUGAACUACAUCUACAUGCAACGGUUAACCAUAACGGUUUAAAAAAUCAUAUUUGUGUACUUGUGUGCGAGUUAAAAAAUCAUCAGACGAUGUAAAUAUUUGGUGUUCAAAAAAGAAAAUGUAAAAUCUGGCAAGACAACCGGCCCCACACUAUUGCCACUCUAUUUCGUGCCUCGAGGUUUGGAAGGUGAGUGUCGGGCUUCAUUAAUCAGACACGGUUCUGCAUUGGGAACCGUCAGCUAUUAUGUUCACACACGGAUUUUGCUGCGGGAAUCGUGUGUAAUUCACACUAUAAUACUCGUAAAUUCCGGCGACCGGCGUGUGUACUGUUCCCGUCGAUCUAGAUUCCGGCUGCCAAUAAAUACUACCUUGCUCACGUCGUCCCACCUGCAUUCUCAUCUAGAUCCUCCCCUUGCUCGCCCUCUCUCUCUCUCUCAAAUCUCUGCCAUGGCGCCGCCGGUCUGCCCACGUGCCGACGAGGAGUCGCCACCCCCCGAGGACGCUCACUCGAAGAGCAACGACGAGGACACCUACACGUUGUCGAACGAGGUUGCACCGGAACCCCCAACUUUGGAUUGGUUUUGGGGCUAGUAUGAUCUUUGUCUUUGGAAGUCGCUGCCGCCGGCUGAAAAAGCCAGGCAAGUGGCUUUCAAGAAGGAGAUGGCGGAGGAGGAUGCCAGGUAGGAGGCGGCCUGUGAAGCUCGUGAUGCCGCCUAAAAAAAGGAGGUGGCGGAGCUUUGGGGGAGGGCGCGUCGUCGUGCAGAGGAGGUGUACGAAGACGGGUACUUCGCGAGGAAGGCCAGAGGCGCUAGGCGCCUCGUCGCUACAUGGAGCUGGGCCGAUAAGCUCCAGGAUGCCACCGACGAGGAGCUCCGGUGGGCUCCCAACGAAAUGGCAAGAUCGUUCGCGCGCGUCCGCCUGCAAGAGGCAGAUCAGCAUGUCAAGCGCUGUGAGGUGAAGGAUGCAAAGUACUGCCUCUGCUCUGGGAAGACGCCGUGCACCAGGGAGCUGUUGGUGAGGGGCUGCCGGAAUACUGGCCCCAGGAGGGAUUAUUAGUUUUAGUAUUGUUCGUUUUCAAUUUUAUGCAUUGUACCUAGUAGUUAAGUAUCAUCACGUAUUCCGGCAGUAUUCCGGCCAGUAUUCCGGCAGCCCCUCGCCAAUAGCUCCCUGGUGCACGGCGUCUUCCCAGAGCAGAGGCAGUACUUUGCAUCCUUCGCCUCACAACUAAUGAACAAUUAAUAUUAUAUAUAUUAUGAAUUCCAUUUUCUAUCCAUUUUUGUAUACUAAUUUGAAUCUACCUGUUAUCAUCCACAUAUACAGAAUGGAAAACGUAUAAACACACAUUGAAACAAAAUAUAUAAGAACGGAAAACAGAGUACCCACAUUGAAACAAAGCAAUAAACAAAGCAAUAGUAUGAUUGUUGUGAACACAUAGCUAUCCACAUCGAAAUGACUCAACAAAAUAAAACAUGUCCAUGAGACCAUGACCGGCAGCCCUUGCCUACGGUAGCUCUUGGCUCUGCCUGAACUCGUGCAUGCGUUCGUCCAAGCGGUCGACACUCUCACGGUACAUUUGGAGCGCGAUCUCGAGCUCCAAGUUGGCUAUUUCAUUGGAGAUCACCACCUCGAGGAUCCGAUGGCCAUGUUCCUCUACUGCGCCCAGGUGGACACCUGGGCCCAGGAGGCGGUCGAGCCUACCGACUAGCGCGUUGGCAUCGAGCGAGCCGCGGACAAGGCGAACGGCGCGGCGAGCGUUCAGUGCAAGUACGACGCGGUUGGCCUCUGGUGCAAGUACGGUGCAGAGGGCCUGUGCCCACUCCUGGCGAGGAAUGGGGGUACUGACAGGACGUGUACCCAGCUGCGACGCCCUAUCGAUAGCAGGCAAGCAUCGAUGGAUCCGCUCUUGCUAUGCGGCGCACCGCGCCUUUCGCUUUGCGACGCUCCAACGGUCUCGCCGUGCAGCGAGCCGUAGCCUAUCGGCACAGAUGCGCCUAGCUUGCUCUGCGGCGUGCCAUCGAUCAUGUUGUGCGGCGAGCUACAGCCUCUCGGCGCCAACAUGCCUAUCUUGAUUUGUGGCGCUGAAGCGCCAUGUGCCAAGGGUCUGCUCAACCCUGGCGAUGACGCGCAUCACGAUGUCAUCCAUCGCGUUGCCGGGGAGCACCGCGGCCUCGAUGGGCCAUGGCGCCUUCUGGUUUUCUUCAUCAACGAGGUUGAUGGCAGAGGCGGCGCUUUGGUGCAUUGGCAUGCUUGGAAAAGGUGGAUGUGCUACAGGCUGCGCUUGUUGCCUCCGUGCGUCGCGUCGCGCCUAGGUUUAUGUGCAAUAUCGCUUGGUGGCGGGAAACAGGUGAGGAAAUGGUGGGAAAUGGUGGCGUGUUCAUAGAACGCCAUCAAUUAAUGGAAACUUAGCAUAUAAGGAACAUCGAGCUAGCAUAAGAAGUAGAUGAUGAUGAGAUGAACACGGACCACACUAGGGAACCCGUCGGUGAUGAAUUCAUCAAUCGCAAACAGUUGUACACUAGCAAGCGUUUGCCCACAACACACACGGCUUAUUCCAUCACAAAAAGGUCAGAUGGAUCAACUGUAUGCCACGUAUACACAUUAUAAAAAAGUAAUGCGGUAGACCUUCUUUAACAUAUGUUAAAAAGUAAAAUAAAAAUAAAAAACAAGGACCUCGAGGUUAAAUUAGCUGAGCGAAUGUGUCAUUUCGGUCAUUUGACCGAAAUGACCCAUCCUAUCGGUUAAUUUAACAUCAACACAACUUCCCAUCCAGUCACCCAUCUGAUGGCUGCUCCAGCCUGAGCACACUUAACUUGAGAGUUCUCUUAGAUGAGCUACUGGUGGAACAGCUAGUCCUUUCUGAUAUAGGAUGCCUCUUCGCAUCCUUAUGGCAUAUCUAGAUGACCGCUCGUCCCUCAAUGGCCAAUACAUGUUGUGUAGACAGAGCAUAUCACAUAUGUCUUAUUAGAAGCAAUUGUCUGUGUUAUUAUCGGUCUUCGCACACAUUUCUGACUACAGACACGUUUGCCGCAUAUCACACACAUCUUGUUAUAUUGAACCGUUUAUGUUGUCUUGUCUCAACACAAACAAUUCAUCCGAGUGAACGCAUGCCGUAUAUCGCACACACCUUGAUAUGCCUGACCGUUUCUUUUGUGUUGCCUAAUCACAAACAGUUCAUCCAAGUGAACCGUAUGCUGUAUAUCGCACACACCUUCAUCUGGCUGCCCGUUUCUUUUAUUCCUCUUCAUUGCAAACAGUUAAUUGAACUAAACCAUAUGCCCUACAUCGCACACGGAACCAAAAUCUGAACCGUGUUUGAUGCAUCCAUCAUCGCUAACGUUUUGCACCUUUUUGACGGGUUUUUUUACACCACCGUUUGCGAUUAUUGCAUCGCACACAGUUUUGUUCGAAGGGUCUCUGAUCGUAGUGUCAUGUUAGCAGCAUCAUGUAGUAGUGUUUACACAUUUAUCCAGUGAUGUUUAAGCAUUACCUACGUUCUAUUCAUUUUCAACAAUACCAGUUUGAAUUGCAAUAUUUGAUGGUUGUUAAGCCUGCUGUCGGUAACAUUGCCUUCCAUUAUAUAUAUGCUUUAACAGCAUGUUGAAACCAAUACAUUCAAGCUAUCAUUUGGAGAUGAUAUUGUUUACCUUUGUUUGAUGUUAAGGUUGUUGUACUUAUCAUGCCUUUUCACUACUUAUGUAGGACAACAAUGGGAGUGGCCACCAUUUUCCGCCGAGGUUAGCUUCAUCCUCGGCUUGUACUCCCCCGUCGUUCCAUAAUGUAGUGCAUAUAGAUCUAGGCCUGGACACUUGUUAGCUUCUAAUAUUGACUUGUUGCUUGUAGGUACAUAUGCCCUUGGCAAGGAUCCACGCAUCGACCCUUUUUGUGUAUGGGGCAAUGAGAUAUUCAUGAACAAGCAUCAAGUGAGGAAACUGAUAAGGAUUAUUAGCAAAAAGAUACAAAUGAUGGCAAGUAAAUUAUUUGUUUAUGCUCUAUCCAACAUAACAGUAAGCUAUAGGAUGGUAACUACAAACUCUUCAGCUUUCUCUUUUUACUGUCCAUAAUGAGUUGUUAGACAACAAUGUCUGAAUCUUUUUCGUUUGCAGUGGUUCCUGAAGCAGUUCACUCAAGAUUACCUCGCAAAGUACAUGAUUGGUGAACACACAAUGAAGGUUAAAGUAUUUCAUCCAGACUACAAUGAGCAUCGAGAAGUCGUAAUGAAGACAGUGAAGGAUGGACGGGCAGCCAUCACAAGGGGUUGUCCUAGAGUCAUGCGUGCAUUACGCAUGGAGGAGGGCACAAUAUGGGCAUUCCGCUUCAGCUUCUCUAGCAACCAGAAUGUCUUUCGCCUCUCUCUUUACAGUCUUUAGUACAACUGUCGUUAUCAUUCUUUAGUUGGUGCUUCUGUAGUUCUUCAGUAUAUGUACAUGUGCAUCGAAUUAUGCAUUCAUGGUUGAACCUAUAUUUGUAAUAAACAUGGUUGGAUAUGAAAUAAGUGAUUGCCUACUAUCAAAUUCAAAACAAAUGGUUUUUAAAUUAGGGGUUAAUAAGGGAUUAAUUAUGGAUUAAUCAGGGAUUACACUGCACACGGUUGGCAAAAGCGAAACGUCUGUGAUAGACGUGGAGAUCAGACACGUUUCUAGGAUCCGCUCCGUGUGCAAUCAAUCUCCACUGCACACACAAUCAGCCAGGAAAAAACGUGUGCGAUCAAUCUCACUGCACACACAAUCAGCCACGAAAAAACAUGUGCAAUUAACAACAACAUCGCACAUAGUUCUUUCUUAUUAAAUGUUUGCAAUAGUCACCUUAUCACACAUGCUUCGAAAUUAUAGACUGUUUGUGAUGUUGUGUGCAUCACAAACGUUUGGUACUUCUUGGAUUAACUGUGUGGGGUGUACAUACUAAUGGAAACGUAUUUCUUGGAUGGACUGUGUGGAAUAUACAUACGAACAGAAAUGUUUAGCGGGGAUUGACUAUGUGGGAUGUACUUAUGAACGGAAACGAUUUCGCCUGUAUAAUUGUAUUUUUUAGCACUACUAUACGUAUAACCGUAUUUGAGAGCUCACAAGUCACACACGACCUCAUUUUGCCGAGCAUCUGUGUCAGGAGGGCAUAUCCCUGACGGUUUCUGGGUCGUGUGGGAAGGACCCCCCUAUCGCAGUCACUCACUUGGCGAUGGCUCCAAACGCCAUCACGGAAAGGGGUUAAAAACCGUUUGUAUAACACCAACGCAUACCAGUGAAUAUCCAAUAAAUACUCCAAUGAAUAAUAUAGCCAUAAUCUAAUACUCCGAGGGUAGCAUAAACACUAAGAGCAUGCUAAAUCCAAGAACGAUAAAACUACUAAUCCAAUAGCAAGAACGAGCUAUCCAGCUAAGAUCCAUAUGCAAGUAUCAUCUUCGAAAAUAAUACUCCAAAGCAACAUACCAACUACUAUCAUGAAAAUAAUCAUACUAGCCACUAAUAAUCCAAUGGCAACAUGACAUCCCUCAACUGCAUGCAAAAUAUAAGCCCUAAUAAUCCAAAGAACACCAUGGCAAUAGCAAGAUCAAAAACGACUCCAAGAAAUGCCAUGAUCAAGUCACAUGUAGCUAAUGCAAUAUUUUAAAUAAGUUUAAACAAGUAAACCAUGUCAGUGCAUUGCAAUCAUGCAAAUGGAGGGUGUGGCUUGCCUGGGGUGGGUGGAUUCAUCGGAAAUAAGUGCGAGAAGCUCGUGGAAAGAAUCACAGGAAAACGUUCUCUCUCGGAGGGGGUGGUCAUUUUCAGAAUGUUAAAAUAUGGUGAGAAUGAUUCCAUCAGAACGGGCUUGACGAUACGAAGAGAUGGGCUUUGGAAUCACCUCAUUUGGAGUAGGGAGCAAAAAGAUAUGAUUGUUUUUCUGCCAGGGACCUUUUUGUAAAAAUAAAUCCACAAACAAGUCCCUGACUGGAAAAAAAGAAAAUGGAUUUGCUGAAAUACGCUUCCUUGAAAAGGAAAGCGCAUUUCUGCCCACAGCCUCCCUGCUUUACGCUUUCAGUUAGGGAAAAAGUAUUCCUGGGAAUACGCUUCCACUAAUCCAGCAUGGCAAGGUGGGGCCGGGCUCCGGUAUCGCUGACGGGCGGGUCCCACCGCGGAUUCUCUUUCCUCCAGCCUCCUUCUUCUUCCCUCGACACCGCACGCAGAGCAGAGGAGGGAAGCCGGCGUCGGCGCUCAUUCUGGCGACUCGGGCCACCUCCGGUAGAGCUCGGACCGCCGGAGUGUUCAGGACGACAAGGCGCACCCGUCCCUCAACCUUAUGCACGUCGGGGAGCAAUGGACGGGGUCAUCUCCGCGGCGGACGAGGCUUCGCCGGAGUUGAAGACGGCGCCAUGGUGAAUCCGGCGACGAACGGAGAGAUGCGGGGAUGUUCCGGUGGCUGGGUGGUUUUCUAGUGGUGGAGAGGAGGGAGAGGGUUCGGCUUGCCGGAAUCGAAGUAGACAGAGACGGCGGCCAUGGCGGCCAACCGCGGAGAGGAGGAGAUCCAGGGCUCGAGGAAGUAGAUGGGCGGGGUCCUGGGAAGGGGAGGGAGAGGCUGGUGAGGUCGAGGGCGCCCGGGGCUGCUUAAAUAGCCGAGGAUAGAGGGGGCCGACCCGGUUGCCGCCGUGCGCGUCUGGACGAGGCUAUGUCGAGCUCAUCGAUCACGGGGAGGGCACGGGAACACGACGAGGCAACUAUGACAAGCUUCACGGGGCAGAGGAGGCCAAGGAUACACGGGGAGGAAAUGACCAGAGGAGGAAGACGACGACCAGCUACAGAUCGCCCGUGGGCGCGUGGCGACGAGCGCCGAUGAGGAGGUUUACGGAGGGGGAGAGGGGUCUAGGGUGAAAGCGACGACGAGGAGAAAACACUAGACAUGCUCACGCGCGCGAAGACGACGAGAGGAAGAGGGAUAGGAGCUAGGCGACGUCCUAGACGCGACCACAGCGAGCAGAGCGCGUGCACAGGUGUGCCAGCUGCGCGGUCGCCACGCGACAUGCAAAUAGAGGUCCCGAGCGGUGGGGAAACUGUGUCUAGCUGAUAGUCCUUCCAAUAUGGAGCAUUUAUGAGGCUAUGGCUUGAUCUGGGGCACUGUUGUUAAAUGGUAGUGAUCGUCUGACAUUUGCUGUAGCAGACUUUGCUAUGCAUUGGUGACCAACAUGGAAGAUGAUGUCUGGGGUGAUUAACUAAGGAAGGACUAUAAUCCUGCUAAAUUUGAGGAGAAGUGGAGCUCAAAACAACAUAAUUGCUUUGUAAGUGCAAAUUUGGUCCACAAAAUGGAUUUGGAUGAUGCACUCACGUAGAGAAGCAACUUGGGCUCAAAUUUGGUAAGGCAGGGUUAUAUGGACAUAUGAAGAUGCUGUAAAAAUUUCACACCAAAUGGACUUGCCAAAAUGGUACUUGUUUCACAAACAUCCUCCCCGACCAGAAACUUGCAAUGAUAUUGGUGGGUAAAUGGCUUGAUGAAAUGGUCUCAAACUUGGUGGAGAGAUAUUAUAUGGGUAGGAGCAUGAUCUGGUAAUUUUUCAGAAUUAAUGAAGCAAUAUAAAUUAUACUUGCUUCACAACCUGAAAAUAUUAACAGAAUCAAAAAUUUGAUUAUGUGCUCACAUAGAUGAAGGGAUAGAGUUCAAAAUUGCAGGAGGAUAGUGAUAUGAGCACAUGAAGGGGCAUGCAAAAUUUCAACUCAUUUGGAUACUCCUAACUAGUACUUCCUUCACAAUGGCUUCAGUUUGACAGAAACUUUGAAAAAUCACUAAGGAAGAUUUACUAGGCAAAUAAAGUUGAAUUUUGACAUGAGGCAAUGAUUUGAACAUAAAAGAAUGCUCAAAAAGUUUGGGAGCAAACAAGAUAGGAUAAAUGGCACUUCCUUCACAAAAUGCCAUUCAGGACAGAAUGGAAGAAUGAAUAUUGGAGGAAUAUUUUUGAACUGGCCAAGGAAGGAUUUGGGCAUAUUUGAGCAAUAUAUAACCCAAAGAAAUUAUGAGAAAUUUUUGGAAAUUUUUGGAGGGACAGAAAUAUAGGUUGCUUCACAACCUAGGGCAAAUGAGGUCAUCCCUUUAAUAGAAAAGGAAUAUUCCCCAAGAAAAAUAAUUAUGAAGUUGGGCUAGAAAUGGCAUGGUCUUGGGAUUAGUUGGAGGAGGACGAGCCACUUGGGAGAAGAAGAAAUGAUGAUCUCCCAGGUGGCAAGGCCACAGAACCACUCCAAAAAGAAAACAGGGCAAAAAUCAAAUAAAGCAAAAAGAAAAGAAAAGGGCCAAAAGUCAGGCUGUCACAAAGGGCGAACUGGUCUACCCAAUCCAUCUGUUGCCAUCGAGCACCACCGGUUCAUUCUACUCUACUGCAUUUUCUUUAGCAGUUUACUUUCGAUGCUUUGUAUCGAUAGAUAUCUAUGAUCUACUAUAUCUGUCAUGUGUUGUUCAUCUGUAUCAUACAUGUUGUUUAGUAUCUUUCAGUUUGUUGUAUCCAAAGUCGUUUGUUUGUAUGUGCAUCUCAUUGUUCUGUGGUGUUACCUGGUCAUUCAAUCGAGUUAUACUCUUAGUCACAUCUCACAAUAGUUUGCUCUCCUCUGGUACUACCAAGUUUUCUUGCUCGUUUUUCUAUCUUACAUAGUUGUCUUUCCUUUCUCACUCUCUUUCAAGCGUUUAGUCCAUAUCUGUUUGCCAUCUCAUGUUACUCUAUCUGUUAGCAUACAACAUUACUAUCAUGAUUGUCAAACCUGUGACCUACUAUGCACGGACGAUUAUAGCAUCUUCCUUCGGAAGAUUUGCUUAGCUCUAAUAUUCUCAUCUGCAUUUACUCUACCGAACUUAUUCCGCUGUUGUUAUUGGGUUCGGUUCGAACUUCCGCAAGAAUUUUUGUAUNNNNNNNNNNNNNNNNNNNNNNNNNNNNNNNNNNNNNNNNNNNNNNNNNNNNNNNNNNNNNNNNNNNNNNNNNNNNNNNNNNNNNNNNNNNNNNNNNNNNNNNNNNNNNNNNNNNNNNNNNNNNNNNNNNNNNNNNNNNNNNNNNNNNNNNNNNNNNNNNNNNNNNNNNNNNNNNNNNNNNNNNNNNNNNNNNNNNNNNNNNNNNNNNNNNNNNNNNNNNNNNNNNNNNNNNNNNNNNNNNNNNNNNNNNNNNNNNNNNNNNNNNNNNNNNNNNNNNNNNNNNNNNNNNNNNNNNNNNNNNNNNNNNNNNNNNNNNNNNNNNNNNNNNNNNNNNNNNNNNNNNUGUUGCAUUAGUUGCACCAAUACAACCUUUGAAGUGAGGCCAGAAGUUUGUUCCUAACUUUUGGAUGCAUCUGUGAAUGUAGACCCUAUAGGUCUGAUGACGUCUCCUCCUAAAGAAUAUAUACAUAGUGCAACACAUGUUUGAACUUCUUAUAAAUUGUUUCAGUUGAACGAACAAAACAUUGUUCGACUUGGAUAAAUGUUUGAAGGCAUCCAGACAUUCACAAGAACAUGCCUAAACAUUCAAGUGAGCUCAUCUCGCUAGUUGACUCCAAAUGAUACUUACUAAAGACUAUACAAACUCAAUAAUAUAUAGAGACAUUCUAAACAUUUUAUAGCAAGUUUUAUGGCGGACUAAUUUUUCCGUACCCAUUCAUAACCAGUUUGCACCGCAGUCAGGCCGAGCUGCCAUCAAGAAGAUCACUACAAAACCCUAGCAAAAAAAAAAAAC
rnacentral:lncRNA from 1 species